rnacentral:lncRNA from 1 species
UUUUUAAAAGAGUACUAAUGAAAUUAAAUAACGUGAUAUAUAAAUAAUGAAAAGACUUCGGCUGUUUUUGUUCUUAAAAGAAUACAUUUUUCAAGUAGGUGUCAUCUGAUCUUUUAUUUUGGCUAUCAUCUGUUGUUAUUUCGUCUCUUAUUUUAAAUAUAAUCUUUUUUUAACAAGUUUUAUAUAUUAUCUUUGCUCUUCAAAAAGUAGAAAAAAUUAGAGAUGUAUUCUUUUUUAGAAAAAAGCAUAUUUAAAAUUAUAAAAUCUUUCUGUAACUAAAAAAUAUUGUCAUUCGUAAUGAAAAUACCUAAUUACGAAAAAUAUAUAAAUAUAGAAAUUUGUUUACAAUUUUUAAGUUUAGUAACAUAUAAAUAUUUUUCAUAUAUUUAGUUGCCUACAUAGUAAUUCCACCUUUUAUGUAUUAUCUUUACUCUUGUCAAAAAAAAAAAAUGUAUUAUCUUUACUAUUCGAAAAAGUAAUAAAAAAUGAAAGAUGUAUUUUUUCUAGACAAAAGAAGACUUGGAAAAUAAAAAUCGGUAGCUUGUCAUUUUAUUUAAUUUUCAAUACAUUUGUCUAUAGUACAUUUAUUAGGGUACAACUUUUGUCUAUAUUACUACUAAAUUAAAUUUAUUAGUUUACCGCAAAAAAUGUUAGUAAAUUAAGUUUAAAAAGAGGCAAACAGUAUGACCAGAGAUGUUAUCAACUUCCAUCAAUCAUCCUUCAAUUAUUGUGUUAAAGUAGAGUGAUAUUUUUUCUUACUUUAAAAAAGUAGUUUGGGGAAAACUACUUUUGUAAUGGAAAAUAAAAAUAACGUUGGGUUUAUUAGAUUGCGUGGAACAUAAAAAUCUGAGAAGAGCCAAUUAAUUAGUUUGAAAUUUGUAUCCAAAAAAAUUGGAGUUCAAAGAUGUGCAAUGCAUUGUUAGAUUUGAAAGUGAAACAACUUAUCUUAUGUCUUGGUGAGUAUUUUUAUUUUAGCAAUCAAAUUAAUUUGGUAUAUAUGUUGUUUUUGGCUUCAAAUUUGCGGUUUGGAAGAACAGAAAAAUCGUGUCACGAUUUUCAGGCAGGGAGCAUGGUUUCUCAGGGUGCUCAAUCGUGUCACGAUUUUGGGAAAACGUGACAUGAUUUUCAAACUUGCUGGGUACGUUUUCAGGAUAAGGUUGGUUAUACCUUGGGUCGUAUGCACCAAUCGUGCCACGAUUUGGAAAACGUGAUACGAUUUGGAAAACGUGAUACGAUUUUGACAGCUGAAGACUGUUAUAUAAGUGUUCUUGUACAGUUUUUGAAGGAGAUCAGCUUGAAGUGAGAGAAACUUGGAUUACAAAGGAGGUAACUUUAGGGUUGAGUGUCUUUGUAGUGAGGAUCUCUUGGAUUGGGAAACAUUGUAAACACCUUGGGUAGUGAGAUUUCACUAUUGGAAGGAUCAAAAGUUUCCUUUUGUGUCUUCUCUUAGGGUUCAUCAUUGAGAGAGUGGGAAACACAAAUGUGUAGAAGUUAGGUCUUGUUCUUGUGUAAGCUUGCAGGCUAUUUUUCUUGUAACUCUUUGUAACACUUUCAUCAUAGUGGAUUGGAGAGUUGCUCUCUCCCCCAGAUUAGGUCAUAUUGGACCGAACUAGGUCAACAAUCUUUUUGUGUGUUUGUUCCUUUCUUUCAUUGCUUAUCUUUGUGCUUUGUUUAUGCUUGUGGUGUUGCUCUACACUAAGUCUAGGUCUGCUUUGUUGUUGUUGCUUGGAGACACUUUACACAUUAAUUGAUUACCACUUCCUUUGCUCCACACAUCUUUGUUAUUCAUUGGUGUGAUUUUUACCAGAAUUCACAACAAUAUACAUUUUCCGAGCUUAAUUUUCUAUUGUUUUUGUAACUGAACAAAAAUUUAUCUAUUAUGCAGCACCUUACAUGUCACAUAUCAAAUUACUACCUCCGUCCUUAAUUAUAAGACCCUUUUGAGUAAUUUUUUUGUCCCUUUUUAUAAGACCCUUUUGGUAUUUCCAAGUACAUUAAUUAUUUCUUUACCAACAUACCCUUAUUUAUUUUGCAUCUUUUUCUUCAAUCAACAAUAAAUAUUAGGCUUAAUUACACUUUUGGUCCUCGUGUUUUGGCCUACUCACGAAACUAGUCCUGCCCUUUUAAAACAGAACAAAACGGUCCUUCAAUUAUCAUUUUUGUUGCAUUUUUCGUCCGACCUCCUAUUUUCAAACUCCAGAAACGCAGAGAAAUGACAAUUUUAGGCGGUUUUAGACCUACCCAUAUGCUCAACCAUGAAAUCAAUAAGGAAUAAAACAUGUGGGCACAAGGAAUCUAUUCUAUUCAGCACACUAACAAAAAAAACCCUAAUUUAAAACAUAUCUGAGAAAUUAGGACUUUUUUGGUUAGUGUGUUGAAUAAAGUGGAUUCUUUGUACCCGCGUGCUUUAUUCUUUGUUUAUUUCAUGGUUGAGCAUAGGUGGUAGGUCUAAAACUGUCAUUUGUCUGCGUUUUUGGAGAAUAAAAUGGGGGGUAGGACGAAAAAUGCAACAAAAAUGAUAAUUGAAGGACCGUUUUGUUCUGUUUUAAAAGGGCAGGACCAGUUACGUGAGUAGGCCAAAACACGAGGACCAAAAGUGUAAUUAAGCCUAAAUAUUAUGUUGAAAACAUAAAUUAAUCUCUCUCUUAAGGAUAAAAUUGUAAAAACAGUAUUAAUUACAUACAAAUUUAAUACUACAACCAACUUUCUUAAUCUCUGUAAUUUUUGCAAAAGACUUCUAUAAUUAAGGACGGAGGUAGUAUAAAAUAGUAAGUUAUUGUCUUCAAAUAGAUUGUUAUUGUUGACUCGGAAAAUAAACAAAAUUUAAUUAAAAAUAAUAAAUUUGAGGGAUUUGCAGAGUGGUUACUUCCAUGAUUGCUGACGUGAUGUUAAUCAUGAUGUUGGAGAUGUAAGCAAAGGACGUGUUUUGCCCAACGUUUAGAACUUUUUGACUUUGGACCAUCCCUUCCAGAUGAGCUAUGGAAAUUUUAAAUAAUUGUUCUACCAUUUCAUUCAGUUUAACAAUGUCCUCAUCGUCAUCUCGGUAUUCCUAGGAAUUAGGGUAGUACUCCGACCAUUCUUGAGGAUAUUUGUUCCUUUGAUGUUCGAUAUAAGAUGCCAUGUACUUUCUUUGUUCUUCUGAUGACCCCAAACAUUUAGGAAAGCAUGUAUCAUUAAUAUAGAAUAGAAUAUUAGUCAUAAUUAGUUAUAAUUAUUUUCCUCUAAUUAUGUUGUAUCAUAAUUAGAUAGUUGACCUACACAUGUAUAAAUAUAUUCUAUUCACAUAAUGAAAAGGCAAUGAUCGUUAUUAGAUAGUUGUGCUAUAAUUGUCAAAACUUUAUGCAGCAUCAUCCGUUUUUGUAUCUGAUUCUCUAUUAUUAUUAUUUUCAAGGAUGAAUGAAUGUGUGUGACAUCCUUUUUCGUUAAAACCAUGAUCAUUAUUAUGUAAAAUUACCGUCAGGAAUUAGGGUGUUACAUCCUGCAUUCUAUCAGACUCGCUCCAUGCUCACCUUGGAAGAAGCCGGUAUGGGAAAAAUGGCACGCACCGGCUCCCAUGCUGCCAUGCACACAACUGAUUCACGACCUAAUUUUGAAGAGACCUCUCAGCAUGGCCAACGCCGCCCCAGCAACCGUUCUCGCUCCCGCAGCAGCCAGGGCCGCAGAGGGGGACGUGGCAACCAUAGUGCACCACAAUCUAGAGCUCCCGAUAUCCCGUCACCAUGGUCCCACUACUACAGAAAUGACAUUUCACAUCGGUUGAAAUCGACAUUUCACAUCGGUACCAACCGAUGUAAUUAAAGGUGAGGUUGUAUGUCAUUCACUUUUCACAUUAAUGAACGGUUGUGAUAUGUCUUAAACCACAUUGGGCACGAUCUUACUGAUUUGAUAUGUGAGCUAAUAGUCUGAAAAUAUAGGAUUUCACAUCGGUUUCACAAAGGCAGGCGAUGUCACAUAGGCAAAAUUCACAUCGGCAGUGAAGCACCCCGAUGUGAAUUCCAGUUUUCUAGAACACGUUUCACAUCAGUUGGAUGCACACUUAUGUGAAUUAUGACAUUUUUUCUUUUAAUUUUCUCAUUACGCCAGUACCAGAUCAAAAGCAAGAAAAUACGUUUCACAUUAGUUGGAUGCACACAAAACAAAAAACAAGUCAUGCUAUGUCACCAGCAGUACCAAAACACAAAAAAAAAAGGGGGGGCUCUCUCUCCAAGUGCCAAUAGAUCUCCCAGCUAGAAAUAACAGACCAAUAGUACUAAAUUACAUUGAAGCAUAUCUUAGCAAAUCCUAAGUUUCAUACAAUUCAAGAAAACAAGUUGCCCAAUCGUUUCGCAAAGCAUACAGCUCAUCUUCUGUUAAUGUUGUUGUAUCAUUGAAUACCUACAGUUUGUACAAUAGAUUAAGAUAAGUAAAAUAACAAUAAGGAUAUGUCUAGCUAUCUUAAUUUGGAAAUAUAUAUGGUGCAAACAUUUGAUAUACCUUCAUCCAAGAGGUAGUAAUAUUAGAAGAGACGAUGUCUAGCAUGUUCUUCAUAGGACGAAUGCAACGAAGCUUCUUUUAUUACCGUUUGCUAAUUGAUGAACCUCCAGAGCACUAGGUUAAAAAAAUCAUCAAAGUAAGUUCUAUCUUUUAGUGUUAUAGGAUUUGUAAUAUAACAAAUGCAACAUAAAAAUACACUUACGCUGAAACAAUUUCCUUCAUUGUUGUGUCAAGAUCUUUGUUAAAGAUCAAAGGACAACAAAUGUAUUAUCCUUUGGACAAAUGACGAUUAAUUUCCAAUGCCCUCGAUACACGUAAAAGAACAAUUAUUAACGUUUAAAUUAUCAAACAUAAAUAAGAGAAAACACAAAUUUAUAUAUACCUACUCCAUAAGAAAUGGUGCCAAGUAACACACUUUGUUCAUAUCACGCAACCUAGUUCGUAUGUAGGAUUUAAAUGGUUCUAUAUUCAUUGUGGACUUUGAUUUAAAACUCAAAUUUGUUGGGUCUAAAAAUCCAAACACAUUUGAUUUGUUUGUUUCAAUACAGAGACGGUGCAUACACCUGAAUAAAUUUGAAAUCAAUAUUAAAUAUUGUAGUCAUGAGACACAACACUAAUAGUUAAUGAUAGUAUUAAGCAAGAAUAUGUACAUACGUGCACCAAACUUGUAGAAUAGAAUAGUCAAGCCAAGCCCCGCCAACCAAUAAGUCUUUAACACAUUCUGGUGCAAUUAAGAAAUUUAUCACUUCCGGACCAUUUUCUAAUUUUAACCUUAGAUAUUGCUUCUCUUUCAAAAUCAUGCAUAUCACUUUCUGAACAUUGUUAGUGGUCAAUUCGUCCUUGUGAUUUUCUUGUGCUGCAGAACAAGAACCUUUUGCGCUUCCUAACACAACAACUUUUUCAGAACAGGGUUCAAUUUGUUUUUGUUUGGGAGGUAUCGAAUAAGCCCAUAUUCUUGAGUGUCUCCAUAAAUGAUUUUUGCAUCAACUGAUGCGUUGUGGCCAUCUGUUGUUCGAACUCUACUUUGCAUUCCGCUUUAAUUUUUGUUGCAAGUUUUUCUUCAAUUUUUGCUUCAAUCUCAUUGACAUUUAUGGUUUGCGUUGGGCAUGAAGACCUUCCAAAGUAAUUGCUUAUAGUAGCACCUCUUCCACCUCUUCCAAACAGGAACCAAAACCAGGCCCUGCACCUGAACAUAAAAACCAGGGAACUAAAAAACAACAACAGAACAACAGUAUCACAGCAAAACUGCUGCUAACAACACCCACCAGCACAAAACAAAUUAUUUAUACCUCUUUCUAGACGAAUCUUAUUAUAUCCUAUGAAGCCAAAUUCAAUUUGAACAAACAAACAAGUAUAGUUGGUAUGAAUUACACCAGAACUAAGUAAUAUGAAGAAAAAAAGAGAAUAAUUAAAAUUGUAUAAAGAAAAGGGUCAUAGAGAAUAAACAAUAUUAAAGCUAUUUUGACAAGUUAGUAAUUGAAGUUUAUAUCAGCUGUGAAUGAAAAUUCCUGUGAACAUGCUAUUUUUAUCAUACUAUUUAUAUCAUAUUCUUGAACAUACUUUUUUUUUUUUGGAAUCAAUACAAUGUAUUCUUGAACAUAAUUUUAUUUAAUGAUUUAAUUAUGAAGGUAAGAGAGUUUGAAAUUAAUUCAAUGGUAGUAUGCUAGAAAACUUUUAUCAAUUCCCACCACUGAAUGAUAAUUUCAUAGAUACAUGAGAAGUUCCCAAGUUUGGAAGUAAUUCCUCAAUUAAAGCCCACCGAGCUUUUAUUAAGAAUAAAAAAAAACCACCGAGUCCUAGAAAAAAGUGUAAAUUCAAUGUAUCCUUUAGUGUCCAACGAUCACAACAUAAAUGCUAUCUAAAAAUGGUGGACUAAACCCUUCCAUAGUAACCAUAUACACCAUCAACAUAACACAAUAAAUCAGUUAAGCAAAUUGAUUUAAAAUGGGUCAGUGAAAAAGUAAUAACAUGAGAAUGAAAAACACUAUUAACAAUCGUAAAACAACAGUAACAAUACAAUAUCAAAACAAAAUACAUCCAAAUUUGAAUCUUGAUAAAACAAAAUUAAUCCUUUUUCUCCAUUCUUCAUCUUAAAUAAAAACUUAAAUCUUAAAAUAUAAUUUUUCUCGUAAAACCCAUUAUGCUAUCACAAUUUUUUAAGAAAAAAAUACAUAAAAAGUAAAAAUUAAAUAAAAAUCAAUACUUUAGCUAUUUAACACAAGGUAAAUGUGAUGAACUGUGUAGAUCCAAAACAAAAGAGUGAAAAAGUUGAAAUCUUUAGACAUUUCGAUAGCUAAGAAACAACCAAACGAUGAAGAGAAAGGGUUAGAGAGAGAAGAAGAAGAACCUGAAGACCAGCUCUUGUCGUUGAGGGAUGUUGUCCUUGUCCUUGUCUUUGAGCGAUGCUGUUUAUUAAACAAGAAGUGGGUUUCGGCGGCGAGUGUGUGGUUCACGGGGAGAGGCAAACGGAAAAUCUCAGAUCUGGAAUUGUGUGGUUUUUACGGGAUAGUGAAAAGAAAAAUAGUGUAAAUUUGUUUUUCCCCGCAAGUGUUUUUCUCCACUGAUGUGAUAAUUGUUAGGCAAAAUAAAAUACAAAGAUCACUAAAAUUGCGAAAACGCCACCCCGCUUUUUUCCCCCUCAUUUCAAUUAUCCACUGAAGUGAAAUGUUAUAUGUCAUUAGUAAUUCCUCUCAGGUACUUAUAUCCACCGAUGUGACUGGCAAACCAAAAUUUACUCAAAUUUCGAAAUUGCCACUGUGUGUAUCUUUCCCAUCAGGUAUUCGGUGUCCCGAUCUGAAAACGAAAAACCCCCCUGUUGUUAAAUGUCUAUUUUCUUGUAGUGUCCGCUCCACCUUGGCAACAACAAUAACAGUAUGCACCCUUACAACCAUGGGGUUGGACUCCACCUCCGUAGGCUAUGCCUCCGUGCCCGUACCCCACCUCCCAGUGGAUGAGCCCUACCGGUCCUCUAAAAUAGCCAGGUAUUCUAGGACAGCGUCCUCAAGCAUAUAUAUGCAGCUUCUACCUCAUCCUAGACACCGAGAGACAUUGAGGCAGCUAUGCAGACCAUGUCACUUCACACUCUUGAUAUUAAUCAAUGGUACAUGAAUACUGGCGCAACGUCUCACAAGGUAAUCUCUCGUCUUAUUUUUCUAUAAGUAAUUCAAAUCAUAAAGUUAUUGUUGGCAGUGGUCAUGGAAUUCCAAUUCACGGCACCAGACACACACAAAUAGCCACAUCUCAGCGACCUCUUCACAUUAACCAUGUCAUGCAUGCCCUGAAAAUUAUUAAAAAUCUAAUUUCUUUGAGACGACUCACCAUUGAUAAAAUGUUUCUGUUUACUUUAACCCUUUUGGAUUUACUGUCUUUGAUUUUCAUGCGGGGAUGACUAUUCUCAGAUGUGAUAGCCGUGGCGAUCUACAUCCAGUCACCACUCCUCCUAGUUUUGUCGGUCUCACAUCAGGUCUUUGGCAUAGUCGCCUUGGUCACCCUAGUGUGUCUAUUUUAAAUUCUCUUCGCAAAAAUAAGUUCAUAUGUUGUGAACAUUUUAAUUCUUCUGUUGUUUGUGACUCUCGUGUUUUAGGCAAACAAGUUAAAUUGUCAUUUUUUAAUUCUCAAACUACAAUAUUGAUGCCUUUUGAUAUUCUAUAUAGUGAUUUAUUGACGUCUCCAAUUUUAAGUUUUGCUGGUCAUAAAUAUUAGGGUUAAUUAAGUUUUUGGUCCCUAUAAAUAUCUGCAGUUUUAUUUUUAGUCCCUAUAAAAAUAAAUCACACUUUUUAGUCCCUAUAAAAUUUUCUGUUAGUGUUUUUAGUCGCUGUUAAAUUAAAAUUUGUUUAAUUAUGCUUAAACUUCUAAAUUUUUGAAAGAUUUUUUACAUACAUGUUUAUAACAUCAUAAGACACUCUUUUGUAAAUUUUUUAGUUUUUUAACAUGUAAUGAAUUAAAUAUGAAUUUUUCUAAAAGCUAAAUUUUCAAGAUUAUAUUAAAGAAAAUUUGGACCUAAUAAUAAAAUUUUAAGUUACUUUUUUGCAGAGAAAGUUUGUAUAAUAUUCUAAGUAAGUAUGUGAAAAAUAUGUUACAAAUUUUAAAGUUUAAGCACAAUUAAGCAAAUUUUAAUUUUACAAGGACCAAAAGUAUGUGUUGGUCCCUAUUACAUUGAAAUUUGUUUAAUUAUACUUCAAUUUUAUAUUUUUAAAUGAUUUUUAACAGACAUGUUAAGAACAUUAUAAUAAUCUCUUUUAUAAAAAAUUAGAAUUUUUUAACAUGUAAUGAAUUAAAUAUAAUUUUUUUAAGACGUAAAAAAUUCAAGAUAAAUCUAACGAAAAUUUGGGCCUAAAAAUAAAAUUUUGAGCUAAUUUAUUGUGGCGGAACCUUUUAUAAUGUUUUAAGCAAGUAUGUAAAAAAUCAUUAAAAAAUUUAAAAUUUUAAGCAUAAUUAAACAAAUUUUAAUUUAACAGGGACUAAAAGCACUAAUGGAAAAUUUUGUAGGGACUAAAAAGUGUGAUUUAUUUUUAUAGGGACUAAAAACAAAACGACAGAUAUUUAUAGGGACCAAAAACUUAAUUAACCCUAAAUAUUAUGUCUUAUUUUUAGAUGAUUUUACAAAAAUAUUGUGGACUUUUCCCAUUAACAUAAAAUUUCAUGUAUUUGAAACGUUCAAAUCACUUACUCAACUCAUUCACACUCAAUUUUUACAAAAAGUCAAUAUUGGAGCUUGACUUUCCCAUUCCUACUAUGGUAUAUUAUAACAAUGUUAGUGCCAUCUACCUAUCUGGUAAUCCUGUGCAGUAUCAGUGUACCAAACACAUUAAGAUAGACAUUCAUUUUGUUCGGGAAAAAGUAGCUCGUGGUCAGGCAUGUGUUCUACAUAUUCCCUCAAGACACCAGAUUGCAGACAUCUUCACCAAAGGGCUUCCUCGUAUUCUCUUUGAUGAUUUUCGGACCAGUCUAAGCGUUUGUGAACCUCCCGCUUCGACUGCGGGGGUGUGAUAGAACUCUCCUCCCCAAUCGCUUCUAAAGCAUUUAAUGAAAGUUUUAUGUUGAAAUUCUACUUGUGUUUUAAACAUUUCGAAUUUAUCUAAGACUUUAUCUUUUCUUUUAUAUCGUUCAACAUGGUCAUGGAUGAGAAUGUUAGCGUUCAUCUCUCCCAAAAAAAUUCAGCCAUUAAUUAGCCAUAAAUAAGUCAUAAAUCGAACCUAAAGAGUGUUUUAUAUAACUUGAUUGUUGGGAAGAGGCUGCUGCACUUAAAAUCUGAAAAUAACUUAAAAAUAAAAGUCUGGAAAUGUAAAGGAAAAAAAAAUGAAAGACAAGAAAGUAAAGAAAUGCAAGGAAAGAACAAAAGCUUAAGAAAAAAUGUAGGAAUUGAUUUCAACCUUGAGGUAAGUUUACAAGUAUAAAGAGAUGUCUUUUGCCUCAGUAAAUUUUCUGGUUUCAAGUGUUUGUAGCAGUUAUAGAGGAUACAUUAAUUUCGAGUUAUAAGGCAUAAACCAGCAAAUUUCAAGUGUUUGUAACAGUUAUUUUGGCAUGCUUAGUAAAUUUCCAAUGUUGAGAAUGUAUCUACAGAAACAUGGACAAACUGAAGCACAAGUGGUAAGACUUUUGAAUCCAAUGGGAUUAAGAUCUAAAAGAUAUCUAGUUUUAAGAUAUAAAUAUAGGAAUCCUUAUCUAAAGUACAAGAUAAAUGUAAAAACUUGUUCCAUAACCUUUCUAUAAAGAAGUGCGGUUUACUAUAGAUUAGAAAAAAUGAAUGUGAAAACUUCUUUUGAUAAACUAAUUGUCAUCCAAUUUACAUAUGCUUCUUUAGCAUCGUUGAAAUAUAUGAUGAUUUACCCUACCUGCGAUUUAAAAAUUAAUAUUUUGUCUUUUAAAGGAAACGUUUUUCAAAAAAUUACCAAAGUGUGUACUUUAGAUUAUAAAAAUGAAUGACAAAGUUCCUUUUAUGGACUGAUCAUUGUUGUUGCAUUUCCACUUGCACCACCAUCUCCAUUAAUUCAAUGUGAAAUAAAAAAAUCUUUGUUAAUCCAAAACCUAAUUGCAAAUUAACCUUCCCACAUUUGAAGCAUUAACUAUGGUGCAUUGUAGUGAAAAAGGGAAAACUCAACUUUUUCUUCUCUUCACAUACACGUCCUUGUGGUGGUGGUGGUGUACUGGUACUUCUAUCAAUGUCAGAGCAGCUGAAAAUACUGAUAGUAUGAAGCCAGGAGAUAAACUGAAUGCCAUAUCCAAGCUAUGUUCAAAACAACAUAGUUAUUGCAUGAGUUUUGACCAUGAUCCGGAUCGUGAAAACCUCACUUAUCUAAGCAUAUUUGGCGAAGGGAGAGAUACUUGGUUAGUGUGGAUUGCUAACAGAAACCAACCUGCUGACAAAAAUUCAGCAGUUCUAUCACUAGACUACUCUGGUGUGCUCAAAAUAGAAUCCAAAAUUGGUGAACCAAUAAUCCUGUAUUCUUCACCUCAACCUUUUAACAACAGUACUAUUGUUGCAACCUUGUUGGAUACAGGUAACUUUGUUUUGAAAGAUAUUCAGAAGAACAUUGUGUUGUGGCAAAGUUUUGAUCAUCCAACCGAUAGUUUGCUCCCUAGGAUGAAAUUAGGUGUAAAUCACAAAACUGGUCAAAAUUGGUCACUGUUAUCAAGAAUCAGUGAUACAAUCCAUGCUCCUGGUCCAUUCAGGCUUGAAUUGGGAACCCAACAUAAAAGAAUUGGUCAUCAAGCAUAGAGAAAAAGUUUAUUGGAGAAGUGGAAAACUGAAAAACAAUACAUUUGAGUAUAUAUCUGGAAAAGACAUUAAAGUCAACGUUGUGUCGAAUUAGAAUGAAGAGUAUUUCUCAUACACAACUCAAAAUGAAGACAGUCUUACUGUAUGGACUCUAUUAGAAACUGGGCAACUGAUAGACAGGGAAGCAAGUGAUCACAUAGGAAGGGCUGAUAUGUGUUAUGGGUAUAACACGAAUGAUGGAUGCCAAAAAUGGGGUGAUGCAGAGAUACCUACAUGCCGGAAUCCUGGUGAUAAGUUUGAUAGCAAGAUAGUUUACCCUAAUGAAAAAAUUGAAUACCAUAUUCUAAAUUCUAGCUAUGGCAUAAGUGAUUGCCAAGAUAUGUGUUGGCGUAACUGCAGCUGCUUUGGAUUCGGAAACUUAUAUAGUAAUGGAACUGGUUGUGUAAUCUUGGUAUCAACUGAAGGUCUUAACAUCGCAGGGAGUGGUGAUUACAAGUAUUACAUUCUUGUUAAGAACAACACCGAUCACAAAGGUAUGUAUAUCCCUAACUAGAAAAUACUUGAGUCAUGUAGGCUUUUGUCAAUUCCUUGAUUUUGUAUCUGUUUGCAUUAAGUAAAUAUAUAGAUACUCUUUUAAUUGUACAACUUCCAAGAUUGUUUGUUUAUAAUCCUAGAGAAACAACUUCUUAGUGCUAAUUCAUUAGGUGUUCAAUUUAUUUAUUGUAACACCACUUUAAAUAGAAGUUGUGUGAUCUGAGUAUUGACACACAUAAUUUUUCAGAAAUUAAGUUGAUAUUGAUUUGCGUUGGAAUUGGGACUUUUCUACUCAUUAUCGGUCUUUCCAUUCUGUUUCAAGCAUUAAGGAAACGAAAAUAUCUGCUUCAAGGUAAUUACAUUUUUCUUAAAAAGAAAAAAUUUAAUACUACGACAAAAAUAUCCCUUAAUAAUUCAUUUUUCACCUUUUUAUAAACAGAGAGGAAAAGAAUAAGAACACAAAUUGAGAUUCAAGAUCUAGAAGGUUCUAGGCAAUACUCUGAUGGCGAUGAUCUAGAAGGCGAUUUAAGCAAUGCAGAUGACCUAAAAGUGUUUAGCUAUUCAUCAAUACUUGUGGCUACCAAUGGCUUUUCAUCAGAAAACAAGUUAGGACAGGGUGGCUUUGGACCUGUUUUUAAGGUGACAUUUUUGUAUAGUUUUGUUGAAAUAAAAUAAGUAGACGAUUAAACAGUUAAGAUAAUGCAUUCAUCAUUUUAUUGAUGAUGCUUUUAUAUUCAAUUCAGGGAAUUCUACCUUCGGGGCAAGAAGUAGCUGUGAAGAAACUUUCAAAAACAUCUGGACAAGGAAUGAUUGAGUUUAGAAAUGAAUUAACACUCAUUUGUAAGCUUCAGCAUACAAAUCUUGUUCAACUAAUCGGUCAUUGCAUUCAUGAACGAGAGAGAAUGUUGAUCUAUGAGUAUAUGCCAAACAGAAGCUUGGACUUCUUUUUAUUUGGUGAGGUAUAUUGAUUGAUACAAUCUCUUAAGGUUGUUUAUUGAAAAUUUAAUCUGGUAUCAACUGUUUCAUAUGUUGCUACCAACUCUCCAUUCAUUUCAGCAGUAAAAACAGAUAACCGAUAUUAAGAAUAGUAAUUUGAGAACUAAAUGUUAUUAAUAUAUACAAGUAAUGUUACUUAUUUUGCCUAUCUAACAUAUUUGAUGGUUGUUUAUAUUUAUUUUAAUGCUUCUUCUCAUGGCAUUGUAUUUCUUUCUUUUUCCGUGUGAGAAGACUCCACUAGAAGAAAGUUGCUAGAUUGGAAUAAACGCUUUAGCAUAAUAGAAGGAAUUGCUCAAGGACUACUAUACCUUCACAAAUACUCAAGACUUCGAAUAAUCCACAGAGAUUUGAAGGCUAGUAAUAUUCUUCUUGAUGAAAAUAUGAACCCCAAAAUUUCUGAUUUUGGUGUGGCAAGAAUGUUUACAAAACAAGAAACUGAAGCAAAUACCAACAGAAUUGUUGGGACAUAGUGAGUUUUUCGUGUUCUCUUUUGAAUCUAAAUUCUAAUGUUAAUUGUGUAAACUGAAUCUAAUUUUUAAAUGUCGGUAAUAUUUUUUGUUUCAUACAGUGGUUACAUGUCUCCAGAGUAUGCGAUGGAAGGAGUAUUUUCUACAAAGUCGGAUGUGUACAGCUUUGGAGUGCUGCUCCUUGAAAUUAUCAAUGGUAAAAAAAACAAUAGUUUCUACUCUGAAGACAGACCACUUAAUCUAGUAGGACAUGUAUGUGAUCAUUUAUCUAUACUCAUUCUAAACAAUGCAUGCAUGUUGACUGAGUUUUGACAUAAAAAAUAAUCAUUGAUGUAAUAGGCAUGGGAGCUAUGGAAAGAAGGCGUGGUUCUUGAGUUGGUGGAUCCAUUACUAAAUGAGUCCUUUUCGGAGGAUGAGGUGCUGAGAUGUGUUCAUGCUGGUUUAUUAUGCGUAGAAGAAAAUGCAGAUGAUCGUCCCACCAUGUGCAAUGUUAUAUCAAUGUUAACAAACAAAAUUAAAGUGGAUGUUUUUGAGGAAGAUACGUAUGGUGAAGAAGUUGGUGCAGAUUCCACGUAUGAAAACCCUCAUUCACAUGUAUAAAAUAUAGAUCGACCCAGUGAAGAAAAUCUAAAUUUAUCGAAGCUUUUGCGAUACGUGUACCAAUACAUGUUGUGCUAGAAUUAAAAAAAUUUAUUUGUUUUUCCUUCUCGAGCAUGGAUCCCAUGGGACGACAUUGAAUGUAAUAGACAUAUGACUGGAUUUAUCAUGUUUAGAGGAAAUAUGGAUAUUCUAGAAUAUUUGAAUUUUGAUUAACACAAUUUAUCUUGUAUUAUUUAGACAUGCAGGUAAUAUUGACAAUGAUUUGCAAGAAGUGAAUCUGAGUAAAUUAAUAUAAUGAAUUUGAAAGAAAAAUUACUUGUUGAGAUGAUCAAAUAUAUUGUGUCUGAUUUGCCUCAUCCUAGGCUUUUCUUAACUUGUAUUUUCCUUUAAUUUUCCAUCUGAUCGCUCCUCCCCUGCAUUGUAAGACGUUCAACCCCUUGAAGAUUAGCUAUUAUACCAAUUGAAGUAAAAGAAUUGACAACAGAAGAAGGAAGUUGAAUUGAUUUUCUCUCAAUGUCAAAGCUGAAAAUAAUGAUAGUUUGAAGCAAGGAGAUAAACUGAAUGCCAUAUCCAAGCUAUGUUCUAAACAAGGUAAAUAUUGAAUGAAAUUUGAACAAUUAACUAAUUUUGAUAACCUCGCCUAUCUCAGUAUAUUUCCUAGAGGAAAUGACUGGUAUGUGUGGGUAGCUAACCGAGACCAACCUGUUCACAUGGAUUCCAAUAUUAGGGAACCAAUAAUCCUAUAUGCUUCACCUCAACUUUUGAAUAGAAGUACUAUUGUAGCCACCUUGCUGGAUACAGGUAACUUUGUGUUGAAAAUAUUCAGACGACGAAGGUAUUGUGGAAAAGUUUUGAUCAUCCUACUGAUAGUUUUAGCAAAGGCUGAUGUGUGUUAUGGCUACAACACCGAUAAAGGGUGCCAAAAGUAUGACGACAAGCCGACUUGCAGGAUGGUGAUAUAUUUGCAAGCAAAAUAGGUUAUCCUAAUAUGACAAUGUGUUAUGAUAUAAGAAAUGCUAGCUAUACCAUAACUGAUUGUCAAGAUAUGUGUAGGAGAAAUUGCAGCUGCUUUGGAUUCAAAAAUUCUCAUACCAAUGGAACUGGUUGUAUGUUCUUUCUAUCAUCAGAGAGAGGGUCAUAAUUUUGCAGCUGCAGGUGGUGAAGAAUUUUACCUCUUUCCGGAGAACAUACGAGGUAUUUAAGUUUUUAAAUCAUUUUACGAACUUGAAAGUGGAAAAAAAUAUACUUGCUAUUAGUGUUGUCUGCAACCAAAAUUGGGACCAUAUCAAAUUUUAGGCGCAAAAUUGAGCAUGUAAUUCUUUAACUUAGAGACUAUGUACAACUUUUUUCUUCUUAAACUGUUAAAAGAGUCUCACUUUGGAUAAGAGCAGGUUUGGACACGUGCUUAUAAGUGGGGGAAAUGCUCACCUCACAUUUGGACCAUAUCAAACCUCCCGUAUAUUGUCAUGUCAACUGAAAAUUCCCAUAAUUAACAGUAGUACUAUAAAUAAACAGUUUCAUAAAUUAUAGUAGUCGUAAAAAAUGUAAGUCCUUUUCUUUAGGUACCCACCUGAACUUUUUAGUCAAACUCCGCCACUUGUACUUUAUGUUUAAUGCUUAUUACAACUUUAAUUGUGUUUAUACAUUAUAGAUUAAUUUAUUGGCCCAACCACGCUUUUUUCUGGCUCUGUCAUUUCUUCAUGAGCUGGUUUGUAGGAUUGUGUUAUACCCAACCACGAUUUCUAAAAUGAACUUCUGUUUAAUUUUGUUAUAAAAGCUUACAUGUUUCAUCGUUGUCACUUUGUUGGUAAGUCUGUUACGUAUGCUUAUAAGGAGGUUUCCAUUUGAUAAGUCACUGUUUUUAAUUAAUUUUCACUAAAAAUUAGCACGAUGAUAUGAAAGACUUCUUCACGUAAUAAAUUAGGGUUCUUCAAAAUAUCCCAACAUGCAUAAUAAAGAUAAUAUAGCAAAGCACAAAAAUCCACAAAUGCACACUGCGAGUAGUAAGAUUCGAUCACAAUCAGUGUCAUCAAUUGCAGAUGGUGGAUUAUGGUGGUCAGCCAAAAAUCGGCCAUGCUAUAACAGAAACAUGGUGAAUAUAAUAGGUUUUGGUGGAAAUGGAUAAGUGUUGCAAUAGCUACUUCUCUCCUCAUAAUUUGUGUGUACAUUCUGUAUCGAGCCAAAAUGAAACGAAAAUAUCUUGAAAGUUCAAACGGAACCUCUAGUGGCAUUGAUCUAGAAGUUGGUAGCAAUGACGAUGAAUUGAAAUAGCUGUGAAAAGACAUUCAAAAUCUUCUGGACAAGGAGUUAUUGAAUUUAGAAACGAAUUAACACUCAUCUGCAAGCUCCAGCAUACAAAUCUGGUUCAGCUGCAAGGUCACUGCAUUCAUAAAGAAGAACGAAUGUUGAUCUAUGAGUAUUUGUCAAAUAAAAGCUUGGACUUCUUUUUAUUUAAUGAGAAUUUUGUAAUUUGUGAAUAUAAUAGGUUUUUCACUAAUUUGUUAAUGUUAGACAUGCAAAAAUUAUUUCAACUUUCAGUUUCAUAAUGAUUACAAAUAGAGUCUUGCUAACAAAGGCCCUAAGGGCAUUGGUUAAGGAACAAAAAAAAAUGUUUUUUUUGAAAAUACAACUCAAUUACAAAUGUCAAAGGCAUAACUACAUAAUCUUUAUCUUUAUCUUUAUUAUAUAUAUUUGCGCUAUUUUUUUUCAAAUGUACACAUAUUAAGCAAGACAAUCCUUAUUUAUUUAUUUCUUUAAUUUCUUUAAUUGUUGUUUCCAGAUUUGGGUUGUGUAGCAAGGCCAGACAAUUGUUAUUAAUCAUGUCUUUGAUGGUAAUCAUGAGUGAUGUUGCAAGUGAAUAAUGUCCAUAUAGAACGGCAAUUUGGUUAUUAUAUUUAUUUACAUAAAAAAAAACUAUACGUUAUAACAUGUUUAUAUUUUCAAUUUAGUAUAACUAUUCUUUCUUUUCUCAAUAAUUUUACAAAUUAUAUUAACCAAUUUGAUUUUAUUACAUUGUCACCUUUUAUUAUUUAAACCAAUUAUAAUAUCAUAUGUGUCGUCUCUAUCUUUAUCUUUAUAUAAUACAAAUGUCUUCUUUAAAAUUUAAAGUACACAUAGCAUGUUUAUUUACUAAACAACGUUAAUUGCUUUAAAGGAAAUUACAUACUGAUAUAAGAUUUUUUUUUUGGUGAUAUAAGAAAAUGUUUGAUUGUGCAUAAAAAACAUUGAUAAGAAAAACCUUUUUGUUUAUAUAUACAUUAGGAAUUGAUUAAUUGGACAUAAAAGUCAGUGUUCUUUUUUUUCUUCAUUUUACGCAUAUGUAAUAAAUCAGUGCCACAAAUUUUGGAUCUAUACGUAGUAGUGAGGCGAUUGAAUUUUUUUCCUAUAAAUAACUAUUCUACUUUCACCAUUUCUCACAUCAUUUUUAUAUUCAAUCAAACAAUUCUAAUUCUAUCCAAAAUUUUAGUUUUUCAGCUAAUUUCUUUGUUUUCAUUUUUUUUCCAGGUCAAGAAAUUGUUCGCAUUUGAUUUUUUUCAUGAUGUAUUAAAUUGCAAGCUUUCAUUCUCACUAGACAUGGUGAUGAUGGAUGCAUCUUUACGUGUGUAUUUUGUAAUAAUUUUUUAUAUUCUGAUUUUUAUUAUUUUAUUUAUUUUUUAAUUAUCAAUUAUAUAUAUAAUUUUUAAUUGAUAUAUUUUAGAUCGGUAAGUAUGCAUAAAUUUUCAAACAUUAUGUUUAAUUUGUAUAUUUAGACAUUAUGGGUUGAUUAAUCAUUGAUUUCAUUUCAUUUUCAUAUAUUAAUGAUUGAAAUUUAUAGAUAUUAUUUUUUAUAUAAUUUGAUAGGUUUUUUUAAAGGGUAUAAUUUGUUAGGUUUGUAAAAUGAUAAAUUAUAAAAUUGGAAAAACAACUCUAAUAUAAAAUGGUGAAUAAUGAAAAUUGAAAAAGACAACUCUAAAUGCCAAGUUAUUUUGCUUAUUAUAUAUCAUAUCUUUAUAACAAAAGCCCCCAACACCAAGCUAAUAUUUUGACCCUAAAUCUAUUUUCUCUUUAUACCCAUUCCUUCUCAUCUCUACCUUCUUAAGGCUUUUUAUUUUGAAUAUGUUCUUCAAAUUUUCUUAGGGAAAAGAUUGGUAAACACCCUUUAAAGGGUGUACCUCCCCCAUACACUCUAACAAGGCAAAAAACUAUUGAAAAAUAAUAAAACAAAAGAAAAAAAAAAUUGAUCUUAUCUUGGAGAAAGAAGAAGGCUCCAAACAUUAAAAAACACAACUUCCCUUCCCCCACAUUCUCUCUCUUCCGCUCCAAUUCCAGUUCCCCCUCCCUCUCAACCCUCACGCUCUCUUCUCCAUCAUUUCUUUCUUUCUCUUCAUCCCACCUCUACUGGCGUCCAACCCUAUUCCGACCACCCUCUCUCUCCACCGUCUCUGUUUUUCAUGUCAUUGUUGUCCCCUCUAAAACACCUUUUGAAUUCAAGUAACAAAACGAUUAAAAAGAUGUAUCGGGAGUCAAUUGCUAUGGCUGCCACCGCCGCCGCCACGACGCGAUGGAUGACUCUGCCAACUCAGUGGACUCGAGACCAUGACAAGCUUUUUGAGCGAGCUCUGUUGAUGGUGCCGGAGGAUUUUCCGGUGAGAUUCCCGAUCUCGUAGUCUUGGUCGACGAUGAAGGUGGCUGAAGGUGAGGUUGUCGCCCCCGCGGUCAUCAUUUAAAAAGAAUGGUGAGAGCUCCGCCGCCGUCGCCUAAAAAAGAGUGGUGAGAGAAAUACAAAAACGACAAAGAGAGAAGGAAAUAGAGAAGAUUAAUGUUGAGGACGGCGGAGAGGAGGAAGGAGCGGCGGACGGUAUUGGUGGAAGAGAGAGGGGCGGUGAGUAGGAGAGGAAGAGAAAACGUGAUUUUAUUGAACUGUUUUUUUUUUUACACAGUUUGUGUGUUUUGACAAAACUGCCCUCAAUUAAGUGUUGAAAUAACAAAAUUACCAUGCCAGCUAGAGGGUGUAUAAGGUGGUUUGCUAGCUAUGGAUGUUCACCUAUCAUGACUCUUUUCUUAUACCCAUUUCUUUGAUGUAUAACCAUCAUAUAUUUAAAGAAUAUAUCAAUGUUAAAAAUAGUAUUUUUUCCAUCAUUGGAAAAUUAGGAGGUGUUUCCAGCUUAAAUGUCACCAUAUUUUGAUAGCAUAUAAAUAUUAUUCAUAAAGUUUGUGGUUUGAUGAACCCUCAACCAUCAAGAUUAAAUUAUGAAAAAAAGGUGCAAGUGAGAUGGACUUUGUCAUGUGUCAUCAUAUUAUUUAUAAAAAAAGGUGCAAGUGAGAUGAAUCCUCAAAUACAUCAAAUUCUUUUUUGUUUUAGAAUUUGAGAUGGACUUUGUCAUGUGUCAUCAUAUUAUUUAUAACUUUCAAGUGAAACUUCAAUUCUCAGAUGUGGGGAGAUAACCUUCUUGCAAAUAUAUAAAAAAAAAUUGAAGAGUUCAAGAUAAACUUUGCUUCCAAUUUGGAAGUAUGGUUAGUGAAUAGGCAUGCCCAUGCUGAAGAAUUUAGGUUUUGUAAAACUAGAAAAGAGAAGGACGGUGUGAUCACAUGCUUCACUUUACUCUCUUUUUUAUCAUAUGAAAUAUAUUAUGGGCCAUUUUAUACAUAAGAUUUCACUGUUAGGAUUUGGCUUAAGCCUUAUGACUUAUACCUGGUUCCAACAGAUCAUGACUCAUAAAUAAUUAUUUUUCUUUGUAGUGAUAAUACAUAAAUGAGAAAUAAGUUGUUUUCUAAUAUGUCUUACUUUGAUAAUUAAUAAUUUUUUGGUAUUAACUUUUUGGUUCUAUGAGGAAAGUAUAGUCUGACCAACAAUUGUUUUACUCAUCGAUUUAACUUUAUAUUUGAGCAACGACGGUUGAUUUAGCCCAAAAAAAAAUACAUUGUAGUUUAUUAUAACGUAAUUUACUGUAUUCAAAUUUAUAGUACAAUUGUCUUAUCAUAUCUAUAUUAUAUAAAUUUGAGACCAUUUUCUCAAGUCCCUAUAUGGAAAUGAUUUUCUAUUCUUUUGGUGUUGACAUGUAUCCCUUUAUUUUUACAAAUACUAUUACAAUAUUCACCCUCACAAAAUGCUCUGACCACAAUCAUCCUCAUAAAUUUGUAUUUAAUGUUCAUGUUUAUGUAUAAGAAGAAGUUUUUCAAAUUCAAUUCUAAUUCUAAUAUUUCAAAUCAAAUUUAAAAUGCUUCUACUAUUAUUUUUGAAGAUAUUUUCGGUUACAAUUUGUUUGACUGAUUUAAAUAUAUUAAUGCUAAAUUUCGGUUACUAUUUGUUUAUACCAUAUAUGUUUACUAUCUACAUUAUUAGUUUGGAAGAAUUUAAAUAGCUUUUAGUAUUAGUUAAUUGGACAAGAUUUAAAUAGCUUAUAGUAUUAGGAAAUAAUAUCAUGGUUAAUUGGAGAAGAUAUUACUUCCUUAUGAUGUAUAUCUUUUUUAUUUGACCCAAAAAAACAAGUUUUUGGAAUUUAAUAGGAUUGAAUAGUAUAUUGGCCGAAAAAAACGUUAGACCACUAGAUUUUUUUUAUCGGCCACAAAGCUAUUUGUAUCAUUUACCAAAACAAAACAAAAAAAUACUAUUAUAUUUUGCUUAAUAGCUAAGACAUGAGGUAGAAUUUGAUUGUUUUACAUAAUUGUCCUAAAAAAUUCAUUAUAAAUUAGAUCCAUUGGCCAACACUUUAUUCACACCACAACUUUAUUUCGUUUCUUUUUCUUUGCAUCAAUUCCGUGUCUCUCUAUUAAAUCAAAAUGGCCCCAAAGAUUGACUUGAUCUCUGGUAUAUCCCCUUCCAAAGAAAGCUGGAAUAUCAGGGUUCGACGUUCGCCUUCAUAUAUGUUGACUAUAAAUUUCUUUCUAAUUUUAAUCAUAAUUUUUUUUUGAAAAUUAUUGUAUCAUUUUAUUUUCAAUUACAACAUCCAUAAAUUAAGGGAAUAAUUUUUUUGAUUGCUUGAUACAUGUUGACUAUAAUUAUUGUGUUUGAGACUCACAAUUAUCACAUAUUUUAAGUGUAACUAACAAAUUUUACAUCUUUUUGCUAUAAAUUGUGCUUUUUAGUUUCAAGAUUUUCACAUAAUUUCAAGAUUCAUGAUAAAAUUUUGAAAAACUUCCCAGUAUUACUCUUUCAUUUUAUUCAUUUUUUCUUCUAAUUCACUUUUUUUUUUUCAUAGAUCUAAUUCUUAAAAAUGGUUCGAUUUUUGAUAUUUUUUCAAUUGAAAAAACAGUUAAACGAACAAUUCUCUCUAUUUUUCCUACGUUCAAUUUAUCUUGAUCUUUAUUCACCUGAUCUUUAAUUGUUUUAGAAGUGGAUCUCAAACGACGAAUCUGAUGAAAGAAUCAACAUACAGUGUGAACUCAGAAGAAAUUGGAUUAAACACUUUGAUUAGAAUGAAUGAGUUUUAUUAGUUUUAAAGUGAUGAUUAUUCUUUUGCACAACUAUUCAUGUAAUUAGUUUUAGAUAUACAAUUUGUGUUGUAAAUGAUAUUUCACAUUCCAAAAUAGUGGUGUUUCUAUAGAUUAAUGAUUAUGUUGUACUUUCAACUUUGAUGUGCAUCUACAAAAAUAUGUUGUAAGAAUUAUCAUAUAAGAUUCUAAUAUUGAUAAGAUCUUAUUGAAUAUUAUAGAAAUUUGGUUAUGGGUGUGAAUGAAAAAUUUGAGUUGGACAUCCAUUAUUAUUGAUUUAUUUCUUCUAUGAUCGAUGUAUUUUAUCUUUGUGUUUUUUUCUUCCUAUUGUCUUCAUUCUUUCUAACACAUUGAUGUUGCUUUUUUCUUUGCAUAAAUCCAAUAUACAAAACGAAUAUUGGUCUAUACAAAUAGUUGUUUGAUGAGAUAUUAACAAACUUUUUUUUUUUUUUUUAUGCAACGAUCAUUUCAUUAGAUUAAAAGAAGAAAAAAGAGUACAAGAAAGAAAAGGGGGACUAAAGCCAAAACCUUUUCAAAAGGUGGUGAAUCUAAAGUUGGGCAUACCCAACCUAUUCCUAGUGUACUCUCCUCUAAUGAAAUCAGGAAUAACAUCAGACCAAAAAACAUCAUCAGUAUUUAAAGAUAAGCCAAGGUUAGCUAAGCUGUCUGCACAGGCAUUUCCUUCCCUAUAGAUGUCAGAUACAAUAAAUCUCAUGUAUCUUAACCUAUAUAAACAGUUAUGCCAUCUAUUUUGCAGGAUCCAAGGAACUACUGAGGAAGAUUUGAAUGCCAAGAUAACCAGUUGUGAAUCAGUUUCCAGCCAAAGAUUAGUAUAACCAUUGUUGUAUGCAAUCUCAAUUGCAGUCAUUGCAGCAACUAUCUCUGCGAAUAAGGCAUUUUGCGCUCCCAGGAAUUGAGAGAAACAACCAAUAUAUUUACUAUCAGCGUCUCUAAAGAUGCCUCCUGCCGCUGCUCUAGAUGGAUUCUUUGUGGCUGCACCGUCAGUGUUUGCUUUAAUCCAAGAGGAUAAUGGAGGAGACCAGAUAACCUCCUUAAUGAUGGGUGAUCUAGGAGGCUUGAUAUUAACUUUGAGAGCUUUGAGAAUCCUGAACUCCUGCAUAUCUCCUCUAUAAACUUCUUUAGUGUUGUUCCCGGCGAAAGCAGUUUGUGCUAUAAUCAAAUUAAUGGCAGGCUUCCAAUGCAUAUGUUUAUCUCUGAAUCUGACAUGAUUCCUUCUAAUCCAAAUGGUGUACAUAAUAUUUAUCAUGCAUGCUUUAAUCACCAGUUUCCAUUGACCAUUCACAAUGAAUUCGCUAACUUUUGCAGAUAAAUUUGGAUACAAAUGUGAAGGUAUGUUUAGGUGGGAAGCUAUUGGUUGACCACACCAAUUAUCCAGCCAAAAAUUAAUGUCGCUUCCAUCUCCCAACUGCCAUCCACAGUUCGAGGUGAUUGUGUUGAACUCCAUCUUUAUGCUACUCCAGAUGGAAGAGAAAAUAUGGUGAGAAAUUACUCUUCUCCCUCUGAGCACUUUACUUCUGAUCAAGAUUGCCCAAUCUUCUUUAGAGUUUAACAUGUCCCAACAAAGCUUUAAAUUUGUUGAUUCAUUUAUAAGAGUGAGAGAUCUUAUUCCAAGACCGCCUUCAGUCAGAGGUUUACAAGUCUUUUUCCAUGAUACCGACACUAGCUUCCUCUUGGUGAUAUCUCCACUCCAUAUGAAAUUCCUUGUCCAAGAUUCAAUCUCUUUCAAUAACUUCUUUGGCCAUGAAUAAAUGGAUAUUGAGUGAAUCAGCAUACCAUGGACUGUGCUUUUAACAAGAGUUACUCUUCCUGCAAUGCUCAGUGUUAUCAUGGUUUUUGGGUGCCAAGCCAUUAAUUGGACUUGAACCUUUUGACCGUUGAUAUCUCUCUUUUUUCUUGGGAAGGGUAAAAGGAGAAAAACCCUUAAAAAGUUCUAGAUUCGGGGGUCGUUUUCACUACGGGAAGGUGUUAGGCACCCGGAGCGAUUAUGGUAUUCCAUAAGAACCGUUCUCCUAAGUUUAUUUCUACGCUUUAGUUUUAUUGCUUAUUUGUAAAAAAGGAAUGUAUGAUUAGUGAAGAAUGGGGGUGAGAAGAAGUAGAAUUUGAUUUUAUUUCGGCUUGGAUGAGUUUUGACUCAUUGCCUACGUACCCUUUUAAGGGAUCAAAACCGUUCGUAGUUCUUGCUAAAAAACUUGUUUUUUGUUUUAAUUGUUUGAUUUUAAGUUUUGAAAAAAAGGUUUUGAAGAAGGAGAUUGGGAGGCUUCAUGAGCAUUAGAUUUAGCAAAAAAGUGAGGUUUGAUUAGUGAUUAGAAAGAAAGUCUAAAUGGUUAAGAUGAAUUGAAUUUUUCUUAAGAAAAAAGAAAGGAAAAAAAAAUGAAGUGUUGACUUCAUACUUAUUAUGAAAAUUUUUGAAGUGAAGUUCAAUUGUUUUUUUUGAAAAAAAGAUGGAUUUUCUCUAAGUGUUUGAAACCUAAGCGCUUAUCUAACCACACAAUCCUAUGCAUACAUCUAAGGUGAGUGUGUGCGUGUCGGUGCGCCAUAGUGUCCAUAGUCCAUAUUACAACAUCUCCUAAAUACAUUCUAUGGCCUCUUUGCCAAGCUACAAACCAAUGGUAAAAUAUUACAUCACCGAACGAAUUACAAUUUGUAAAAGAGAAAACUAAACUAAAGAAGACAAUAGUGAAGAUAAUGAAGUGCUAUGAAGUGAUCAACAUGAAAGGAAAUGUUAGUAGAAAAUGGUAAAAGAAGAAUAUGGCAUAAAGUGAUAGAAGAAAGUAUGGCAUAAGACGGUAGAGUGACGAUGAAAAUAAGCCGGAAACGUGUGAUGAAUAAUGCGUAUGAUGCAAGAAUAAAACCCAGCACAUCAAAACAGUGACAUAUGCAUAGCAAACAGUAGCAAAAUUCAUAUGAAAUAGUAUGCAAAUCAAACAUGACGAAUACGAACAUUAUGCACACGAGGUAACGGGUAAAAAUGCGAGAAAAGUGACUUAAAAUAGUAAAAAAACCCUUGACAAAUCAACACCAAAAUUUUACCAACUUUUCCAAGUAAAAUACCACUGAACAUUAUCAAGAAAAAAAAGUAAAAUGACAUGGUAAUUUUCUUGGAAUUUAUUGGUGAAAAUUAGCAUGAACAAAGGGUGCAAACAGCAGGCAGUUAUGGUGCAAGUAGCAAAGAGAAAGAGCAAAAAAACGUAAAAAAAUUUCCAGCCCAAACCAAAAUCCAAUACAGACUGGGCCUGGAUCAUCCAAAGGCUUCAGAGGCGUUGGAUUGAUCCAGAUUCAGAUCUGACGGUUUAGAACACACAGCGCAUGGCAACGUAAAUCAAGCAUAUGGUAACAAUGCAUCACAACCGUUCAAAGGAGAAAACCCUAGAUCCUACGGUUCAAAAUGAAAAUGAAAUAAACCGGACCGGUUCACGCGUCUAUAUAAGGACAUGGAUACCGGUCCAGUCCAUUUCUUUCAUUUCCUUCUCUCUCUAAGUUUCCCUCUCCUCUCACUUCUCUCUAACCUCGCCGCCGGCGAGGAUGAAGCUACGGCGGAGACCUUGAAGGUCCGCCGGAAACUUCAUCUUCUCCGGCGAGUUCAUGAACUCCGGUGACCUAAAAUUUCCAGAAUUUCAAAAUUUCUUCAUCAAUCAAUUCGUCCUUUAACCCUAAACACGAAUCCAGCAGUUGUUUUUUCAAAUUCAAUUCGAAACGAUGUAGAUCUGGAAAUUUGCCGUACGGCUUUGAAUUUGAUUUUGAUUUUUCGAAAGAAAACGUUUAGAUCCUGGAAGAUCUACAUCAUUUCGUUGUUUAACACCUCUUUGAUGUUUGUUUUUGCUUUCAAAACUUAGAUCCUUAUGGAUCUAGGUUUUGUGUUUACGGUUACGGCUUUGGUUUUGAAUUCUGGAAAUUUUGGAUCUGUUUUGCUUGCGUGAUUUUUAGGUUUAACAGUGAUAUUAUUUCUGAGAAAAGUUUAUGAGUUUUACCUAAGGUUUUGGUUGAAACCUUUAAUGGAGGAAAUCUUUGGAAAUCUUGAUUCUGUUCUUGAUGAUUUUGAUUCUGUUUGCUUCACCGGUCCAGAUUCUUCAUCUUCUCUGACUCUUUCUCUGCUUCUCUGUGAUUACGUGCUUGAGCUUGCUUCAAUGUUUCUCAGAUUCACGCGAGGAAACCCUGUGAUCAGUGCUUGAGCUUGCUUCAAUGUGAGCUCGCACUUGGAAUUGCAGGAAAAUCUUCAAUCCGGUGAUGAAGAUUCACACGAAUCUCUGAGGAUUGAUGCAAAAAUGUUGAUUCUGAUGGAAAAUUAGGGUUUCUGGAGAACGGUUAGGGUUUUUUGUUCUUGGUGUUCUUGAUGAAUCUGAGAAAUUUUUCUGUUUUGAUUCAGUUACUAAGAAAAAGAAAAUUGAAUCUGUGUUUAUGAGUUGGCGUGUGAUCCAUGGCUUUGAAUCUGACUCACUGUUUAUAUAGUUGACAUGUGUACUUGAGAUCCAAUAAAAAGGUGACACCUGGAAUUGUAUGAGAGUGGCACGGCUUGGACAAAAAAAGAAAUUUGGACCUUUCUGCAAAAAAUAAAACUUCAAGGACUAAACUGCAAAUAAUCCAAAAAGGACUGAAACGUAAAAAAAGAAAAUUCUGGACUAAAAAUGCAAUUUUGGGACCUCAAUUGAGGGACCAAAAUGCAAUUAAAAAUGAAAUUGAAUAAAAAACGUAAUUUGACCAAACGUAAAGCGAAACAAAAAUAAAAUUGACAAAACGGACUAAAACGAACCAAUUGACCUAAAUGAGGUACUUCAAAGUAACCUCUCUACGCCAAAAUUUCGUGUGAAAUGACCAAAAUGCCCCUAGGGCUAAAAUUGACCAAAACAGAUUCAAAUUGACUCGACACUGACUCAGACGCAAGUUUGAAACGAAAUUAACAAAGUUUACUGAUGAAAUGUAAAAAAAACAAAUUGAAAAGACUCAGAGACAGUCACAAGGAUGAAAAUGGGUCCCACUGCAGGAAAUGACCAAAAUACCCUUCUGUAUGACUUUUUUGCAAAUUUUGAAAUAAACUGUAGAAAAAGCAAUGCACUGAUUCAGAGACACUUUUGAAUGACUUAUAAGACAAGUAAAGACACUUCAAAAGGUUUUAUGCAAGAAAAACAUAGGUGAAAUUGUGAUUGAAAAUACUGCGAGGCAGAGACAAUUUGAACUGUGCAGUUGAAAUUUGAUAAUUGACAAAGUUUGAAAUGAAAUUGGGCCCAGUAUUUUUAGGUCCAAAAACAUGGUAUAACAGCUGCCCCUAUUUAAGUUUCUUUGUCUGGAGGGUCAAGAGACGGAGUCUUUGGCUUGACAGGACGAAGAUACUUAAAUAUUAGCAUUUGCACUGUGUUUGGACGUAAAAAUACGCCUACCCAUUUUCAAAUAAUAUGCAUGCCAUGCAUCAUUUGGAUUAUGAAUGCAAGACCUCAUGGGGAUUGGAAUUAACAAAAUAUGUCGUAUCCAUUGCGGGAUUGGUAGACAUUGACAAAGAUAGUGAAUAGCAGAGUAACGGGAAACUAGAAACAAGUUGGAUAGGUACAAGCUGUUCUUGGAUUCGAACUAGCCACUUGACCGGGAAUGAAACAAACAGACAACUGCGAGUUGUUCUUAUGGAUUCGAACUGGUCACUCACUUGGGGAUAGAGGUUACUGGACAAACAUGAGUUGUUCUUAUGGAUUCGAACUGGUAACUCACUUGGGGAUAUUGGAAAGUGCGAGUUGUUCUUACGGAUUCGAACUGGUGACUCGACUGAAAACAUGUAAAAUUGGCAGGUACGAGUUGUUCUUAAGGAUUCGAACUGGUUACUCGACUGAAGACAAAUACAAAAUGGACAGGCGCAAGCUGCUCUUGGAUCGAGCUAGCCACUUGAGCGAACAGAAACAGAUAGACGGGUACAAGCUGCUCUUGGAUUGAGCUAGUCACUUGACUGAAUGGAAACAUAUUGACAGGUACAAGCUGCUCUUGGAUUGAGCUGGGCACUUGACCGAUAACAUAAGCAAAUUGAUAGGUACAAGCUGUCCUUGGACUUGAACUAGCCACUUGACCGAACAGAAACAUAUUCACUGGGGAUUAGUUUGUUUGACAAAAUAUAGAUUGAGAUUGACUUGACGUCGAUUUGAUUUGAAAGGUAGAAAUUGAGACUGAUGUUGACAUUGGAAAUGCGAUAUGCAUGGAUGAUAUAACAGUUUCAUUAAAUGCAUGGGUACGCAAUAUGCAUGAUUAUGCAUGUAUGAAUGCUUGUAAUGCAUGACUGUUGGCAGUUUGUAAGCACAACUUCACGGGGAAGACAAGACAUUAGAGUAUUGGGCACGUAGUGGCUCGUGCUAUAUUACACAUUCUUGGAAAUCCUCUUUGGAGAUGACGUCGUUGGGAGACGUGUCGGAACCACAGCUGAGGGCAGGUAACUAAACAACUUGCUUGGGGAUAGAAUCUUGAGAGACUCCACCGGGGAAAACGCCGUUGUGCUGGGCAUGUCGUAGAUAUUGCAUCUGUGGUCAAUGCUUUUUGCAUGUUAUUUUCUCAAUUUUCAAUCAUCAUUUUUUUUUUGCAUCCCAUUUUGCCUGGAUCGUCCUUUCGGGUUUUCGAUCCACCGAGGAAAUAAAUUCUUUUCAAUGCCCCAUUUUUGCCUGAACUGCCCUUUCGGGUUGUCAAUCCAGCGGGGUGCUCAUUUUUGCCUAAGCCGCCCUUCCGGGUUUUCAACUUAGCGAGCCUUUUCAUUUUCAUGCAUUUUCAUUCUGUUUUUUCAUUCUUGCCAUUGACCACAGAUUAUCUUGGAGGAGAACCUGCUUGUAACAUAUAUUGAAACAGACAUCGACAUACUCUCGCUUAUGCAUGUUUCGUUUGAAUGUACCCUGUUGCUCAGGUUUGCUUUUCAAAAUAGACAAAAGGUUUUCAAUUUUCAAAAUGUUUGUUUCAAGCAUUGUCAUUAUCAAAAUAGAAGGAAAAUGAUUUGUAUAUAGCUUUGAAAAUAGAGUUUUAAACAAAAGCACAGGCUCAAUUUGAUGUAUAAGAGUGGUGGUCAGCCGAAGGCGUGACUCCACGGAUUCACAAAGCUUGGAAAAUGGUAAUUUUAUUGGUUGGUGGUACAUUGAACACAGUAAUCAUUACAUUUCCCAAAAGACUUUGAAUUCACAAGUACAGAAACUUCAGAUGAAGAUGGUCAUUAACAGCUGCAGAUGCCCCAAGGGAGACGGUGGUUGACUAGAUAUAGUUACUUGCCUUGUGUUUCAAUCUCAUUUUUGCAUGAACCGCCCUUCCGGGUUUUCGGCUCAUCGAGACGCUCAUUCUUGCCUGAGUUGCGUACAAUCUCAGCGAGCUUUUUCAUAUUUGUUUUUUGUCCCUUAUUUUUGCCUGGACCGCCCUUUCGGGUUUUCGAUCCACCGGGAAGCGCAUUUUUGCCUAGGCCGCCCUUUCGGGUUUUCGACCUACCACGCUGUUCUUUUCACAUUUCUAGGCAAAGUAUUUCUUGACUAUAUCGGCAUUCACUGGAUUUGGAAGUUCUACACCAUCCAUGUGUGUAAGAAUUAAAGCACCGCCGGAGAAGGCCUUCUUGACAACAUAAGGACCUUCAUAGUUAGGCGUCCACUUGCCCCUUGGGUCGGGUUGCUGGCCUAUCCUCCUUUUCAAUACAAGUUCCCCUACCUUGAAUUCUCGAGGAUGGACUUUCUUGUCAAAAGCAGUCUUCAUUCUUGCUUGAUAUGACUGUCCACGAGCCAUGGCAUCCAUACGUUUUUCCUCAAUCAAAUUCAACUGAUCGUACCGGCUUUGGCACCAUUCAGCCUCAGAUAACCUUGCUUCCAUGAUCACACGGAGAGACGGGAUCUCCACUUCCAAAGGAAGAACUGCUUCCAUACCAUAUACAAGAGAGAAAGGGGUUGCCCCGGUUGAACUGCGCACGGUAGUACGGUAGCAAUGCAGAGCAUAGGGUAACAUUUCAUGCCAGUCCUUGUAAGUGGUUACCAUCUUCUGGACAAUUCUCUUGAUAUUCUUGUUGGCGGCCUCAACUGCACCAUUCAUCUGAGGUCUAUAGGGAGAAGAGUUAUGAUGCUCAAUUUUGAAUUCUUCACAAAGAGCUUGCACCACAUUGUUGUUCAGGUUGGUACCAUUGUCGGUAAUAAUCUUGCUGGGAACACCGUACCGGCAUAUGAUGUUGUUCUUGAUAAACUUAGCUACCACUUGCUUGGUCACAUUGGUAUAAGAUGCUGCUUCAACCCACUUGGUGAAGUAGUCAAUUGCCACUAAGAUGAAACGAUGACCAUUUGAAGCCUUCGGUUCAAUUCUUCCGAUCAUGUCGAUGCCCCACAUUGAGAACGGCCAUGGGGAUGACAUAACAUUGAGAGCGUGCGGAGGCACAUGAAUCUUAUCAGCAUAGAUUUGACAUUUGUGGCAUUUCCUGGCGUAUUGGUAGCAAUCAUGCUCCAUGGCCAUCCAGUAGUAACCUGCUCGUAACAACUUCCUUGACAUAGUAUGCCCUGUAGCAUGGGUCCCGAAGGUACCGUCAUGUACAUCAUGCAUUAACUGCUCUGCUUCAUGUUCAUCAACACAUCUUAACAAUACCAUGUCAUAGUUCCUCUUGUACAGAAUAUCUCCAUCUAACAGGAAUCUACCGGCCAAUCUCCUCAGGGUCUUCUUAUCUUGUUUGGAAGCACCUGGCGGAUAUUCGCGGCUUAGCAAGAACUGCUUGAUGUCAUAGUACCAGGGUCUAUAGUCAACCACAUUUUCACCAGCCUGAUCGAUCACAUCCCCAAUAGCAAACACAUGCGAAGGUCUUUCAAGGCGUUGCACUUUGAUUAAUGGCACAUCAUUCCAAUGGUUCACUCGAAACAUGGAAGAUAGAGUAGCAAGAGCAUCAGCCAUUUGGUUCUCAUCACGAGGAAUAUGGUGCAGCUCAACCUUUGUAAAAUAUGUCAGAAGACGUCUCGCAUAAUCACGAUAAGGAAUCAACUUAGCAUGGUGGGUCUCCCAUUCACCCUUUAUCUGAUUGAUGACGAGCGCAGAAUCUCCAUAGAUGUCGAGGUGUUUGAUUCUCAUGUCAAUGGCUUCCUCGAUCCCGAAGAUACAUGCUUCAUACUCAGCCAUAUUGUUGGUACAUUCGAACAGGAUUCUGGCGGUAAAAGGAAUGUGAUGCCCCUGUGGGGAUACAAUGACCGCCCCAAUUCCUUUACCAUAAGCAUUGACAGCACCAUCAAAGACUAAACCCCACUUGCUAUUGGGAUCUGGACCUUCAUUAAUUAACGGUUCGUCGCAGUCUUUGGAUUUCAAAUACAUGAUCUCUUCAUCGGGGAAGUCGAACUCAAUUGGUUGAUAAUCAUCAAGAGGUUGGUAAGCAAGAUGAUCGGCAAGAAUGCUACCUUUGAUUGCCUUUUGAGUUUUGAACACAAUAUCAUAUUCAGACAAAAGCAUCUGCCAGCGUGCAAUCUUUCCAGUAACAGCAGCUUUCUCAAAGAUAUACUUGAUCGGAUCCAUUCUGGAUAUCAACCAAGUUGUAUGAUUCACCAAAUAAUGACGCAGGCGUUUGGCAGCCCAAGCUAAAGCACAACAAGUCUUCUCAAGCAUUGUGUACCGAGUUUCACAAUCGGUGAACUUCUUGCUUAGAUAGUAGAUAGCAUGCUCUUUCUUCCCAGUUUCAUCUUGUUGACCAAGUACACAUCCCAUGGAUUCAUCAAACACUGCCAAAUACAUAAUCAAAGGCCUUCCUUCCACGGGUGGGACAAGGAUAGGUGGUUCCAGCAGAUAAUUCUUGAUGCUAUCAAAAGCUUCUUGGCAUUCAUCAUUCCAUACAAUAGGCUGAUUCUUCCUGAGUAGCUUGAAGAUCGGCCCGCAAGUUGCGGUCAUGUGAGAUAUGAAUCGGGAGAUGUAAUUCAAACGUCCGAGGAAGCCUCUGACUUGCUUCUCUGUCCGUGGAGCUGGCAUUUCUCGGAUGGCCCGGACUUUAUCAGGAUCGACUUCAAUGCCCUUUUGGCUGACAAUGAAGCCUAAUAACUUCCCGGAUCUGACGCCGAAUGUACAUUUGUUAGGAUUCAAUCGAAGCUUGUAUUUUCUCAACCUUUCAAACAUCUUUGUUAAAUAUUCAACAUGCUGCUCCUCAUCUGUUGACUUCACAAUCAUGUCGUCCACAUAUACUUCGACUUCUUUGUGAAUCAUGUCAUGAAACAGAGUAGUCAUUCCCCUUUGGUAGGUAGCACCAGCAUUGAUUAGGCCGAACGGCAUCACUUUGUAGCAGAAAGUACCCCAUGGAGUGAUAAAAGACGUCUUUUCUCUAUCCUCAGGAGACAUUUUGAUCUGAUUAUAACCGGAGAAACCGUCCAUGAAGGAAAACACCUUAGACUGAGCAGUAUUGUCAACAAGCACAUCGAUAUGAGGUAACGGAAAGUUGUCUUUUGGACUGGCUUUGUUCAAGUCCCUGAAGUCAACACACAUUCGGACUUUACCAUCCUUCUUUGGCACUGGUACAAUAUUGGCAACCCAUUCAGGGUACUCAACUGUCAUGAGGAAACCCGCAUCAAUUUGCUUUUGAACCUCGCUCUUGAUCUUGAGAGCCAUAUCAGGAUGAGUCCUUCUCAAUUUCUGCCUGACGGGAGGACAUUCAGGCUUGGUAGGGAUCCGAUGCUCCACAAUCGUAGGGUCUAGACCUGGCAUAUCUUCAUAGGACCAUGCAAAAAUAUCCGGAUAUUCCCGGAGGAGCUGGAUGAUCUUACUUUUAACCUCUUCCCCUAGAGCAGCACCGAUCUUGAUUUCUCGCUUGUUUUCCUCGGUACCUAUGUUGAUAAGCUCAAUCUCUUCCUGGUGAGGCUGAAUGGCUUUCUUUUCUUGCUCAAGUAACCGAGUAAUCUCAUAUGGUAUACCAUCACCUUCCUCAUCUUCGGCUUCAUACACAGGGAAAUCAAAGUUUGGAAGAGGCAUAGAAUUACUGUGUUCAACGGGUUUAUUAUGGUUCAACCUGCAUAUAAUGAUUGGAUGAUUUUAGAAAGAGUUUUUUUUCAUGCAGAUUUUUGAAAUUAAUAAGAAAAUACAAACGUUUUGGUUUUUUCUGGCAUUACCAUUUUUCCAAGAAAAAGGCACUAAAAAAAAGCAGUCGUGAAAGAAACGACAAUUUUUAUUCAUCAAACGGCAAUGCCGAAACAAACACGCCCUUACAGAAAAUAUCACUCUCGCUUUGGGCAGAGCGAGAGGAUUGUUAUUUUUGAAAACAAAGCGCUAAAGCAACAAGACGCAUUACUCGGAAACAUGCAUGAUUGAAGGAAUGUCAAUGGCGUCCAAAUCACUCGCAAUGCCUCCUGGUGUAACAAAUGCAGGCCUGAGACCAGAUCCAGUUGCUUCUUCAGAGAUAGGAUUAACAAACCCAGCACUGUGGAAGACUCCUGAGGAAACCCUUGAUGACGGGGAGAACCCGAGACCUUCUUUACGCUUGUUCUCACAGAGCUGUAUCACCUUGCCCCAACCGGCAGUCUGACCUUCCUGGAUAACCUUCUGAGCAUCUUUCAAUGAAGCCAUAGCAGCCCCAGCUUUCUUAAGCUCCGCACCUUCAAUGGUCAAACCUUGGAAAGCAGUCCCUUCAGCAGACCCUGCUUCAAUACAAGAAAAGGAAGAUAGCUGGCUGACUAAGUAUGCCUCUUCACCAUGGAUUGUAACGAGUUUUCCAUUCUUCACAAAUUUCAACUUCUGAUGUAAGGUGGAAGUAACCGCACCCGCAUCGUGUAUCCACGGUCUUCCCAGCAGACAACUGUAGGAUGCAUUAAUGUCCAUUAUUUGGAAAGUAAUCAGGAAAUUCUCAGGGCCAAUGGUUAUCGGCAAGUCUAUCUCCCCCAGCACAUUCUUUCGAGACCCGUCAAAAGCUUUGACCAAGAAAGUACUCCUCCUUAAAGGGGUCCCACGGUAGCUCAACUGAUCUAGAGUUGUCUUGGGCAUUACAUUGAGUGAGGAACCUGUAUCCACCAACACAUUCGAUAUCAUGUCUGAUUUGCAAUUCACCGAGAUGUGUAAAGCCAGAUUGUGACCCUUUCCCACUUCCGGCAGCUCUUCUUCACUAAACCAGAGGUUGUUACAAGCAGUAAUAUUUCCCACUAUACCACCGAAACGAUCUACCGUAACUUCGUGGUCAACAUAAGCCUGCUCCAGCACUUUUAACAAGGUAUUCCUGUGAGCCUCGGAGCUCAAGAGCAAUGAUAAUACAGAUAUCUUCGAAGGAGUCUGCAGCAAUUGAUCAACGAUCUUGUAGUCGCUCCUCUUUAUUAUUCUCAGAAUCUCAUCUAAAUUCGACUCCUCUAUAGAUUUGCCUGGCUGAUUCACAUCUGUAGAAAUGGGUGAAACAACGGUUGGAGUUGCUUUUUCAACUGGUGGAGUGGUCGGUGUAGCUACCUUCUGCUGAAAUAACGGCGGACGAACCUUCCCGCUUCUUAGUGCUGCAGAAGUCCCUUCGGCAAUAUUGCUUACUGUGGCAAAGGAGGCUAGAGGCACCUCUACUCCAUUUUCUAUCAUAGUAGCAUUGUAUUUGUACGGGAUAGCCCUCUCUGAAGUAUACGGUACCGGUCCGGGCAACCUUAUCACCAAAGGCUCAGCAUUCUUCUUCAAGGGUACACUCUUGACAGGCGGAUCGUGAAAAACUGGCACAAUCACGCAAACAUCACUGACAGUCAGAAGAUUAUCAUUCAUCAAGCUUUGGAUGUCUUCUUGAACAGUAUAACAACCCAAAGGAUCACGGAGACAUCCCAGACACUUGGCAUGAUCAUGAUUGAACAGAGAAGCUUUGCACAGCUUGAUGUGUAGAGGUACCAGAGGAGUUGCGACGUUGCGGACAUCAAGUCUCGGAGCUUCUUCACACACUUCGAUCAUAUUCACAGCGGCAUGAUUUGGAAGAGGAUUGUCGAGGACGUGUGGGACAUUAUUCUCAAAAGUCAGCUUCCCUUGAUCGAUGAGCUUCUUCACGAUAUACUUCAAAGCAUAACACCCCUCGACGUCAUGACCUAAGGCACCUUGAUGAAAGUCACAUUUGAGAUCAGACCUGAACCUUGGAGGCAACGGAUCAGGUGGGGGCUUGCCCUGUCUAGUUGUACAAUGCCCUCUCUGGAGUAAAGUUGGAAGCAACUCAGCAUAUAACAUCGGUAUCGGAGGGAAAGUAGGCCUAGCUUGCUGAUUUUGUUGUUGUUGUUGAACCGGCAUCUGUUGUUUCAUCUGUUGGGCAAUUGCAUUGACGGGCACUUGAGGCUGGCCCGGCGGCAAAGGGUACUGAUGAUAAAACGGUGGGAAGAACGGAUGCUGAGAAUACGGCAUAUAUGGGUAUGACGGAGGCAUUUGAGCUGCAUUGAUAGGAGCAACAGUAGCCAUUGAUUGACCGGCUCCAGCUGACACCAUCCCCACUUCCGUUUCUUUCUUCUUGUGGUGUCCAUUACCGUACUUCUUCGAUGCACUCGUAGAAGAUUCAGCUUUCUCAAACACAAUGAUUCCAUCCUUGACUGCUUCCUCAAGGCGGGUUCCCAUGGUGACCAUCUCCGAAAAGUUGUUCGGGGCAGCGAUGAUCAUCCUCUCAACAUAAUCUUUCUUCAACGUCUUUAAGAACGUCUGGGUCAUUUCUUCCUCAUCUAAAGCAGGAGUGAUACGGGCAGCCGCCCCUCUCCACCUUUGCGCAUAUUCACGGAAACUUUCCUCCUUCUUCUGAGAUAGGGACCUGAGAAACUCCCUAUUUGGCCUCAGUCGAGUGUUAAACCCAUAAUGGCUCUUGAAAGCGGUGGCUAACUCAUCAAAGGUAUGGAUGUCAUUCUUACUCAAACUAGUAUACCACUCUGCGGCAUCCUCCAUCAGACUAUCCUGAAAACAGUGGAUCAUAAGGGAAUCAUUGUCUUUGUAAUUGCCCAUCUUCCGGACGUAUUUGAUGAUGUGAUUUUGAGGACAAGUUAGCCCGUUGUACCGGUCGAAGUCCGGAAUCUUGAACUUUUUAGGAACAUCCACUUUUGACACUAAGCAAAGGUCUUGAGUUUUGACAGAGUCUGCAUUCCCUCGAUUGGCCUGGAUCUCGUGACGGAGUUCUUUAGCAAGUUCCUCCAUCAUCUCUUCCAUAGUCUUGGUUACGGGGAUGCUUCUGUGCUGUGUGUUGAUGUUAAUACCUUGAGGCAGAGUGUGUACCAGAGGCUCAGUGACAGCUGCUGUUGUUUGUGGCAAAGUAGCAAUGAUGGAGGCGGCAUUUGUUGCAGGGAUCAGAACAUUGUUAGCAGUGCCCGAGGUGCUUGCUGUAGCAACGGGAGUGAAGAACGGUGGAAGCCCAUACGGAAACCCCACUGGCAUAGUAAAGCGAUUGUCUGCAGAAGUGGUAGGGAGCGCGCUUGUAGUUACUGGUGCAGCUGUGGUUGUAGGGAUAGCUGUAGCUGAUUGCUCUUGAGCAGCUAGUAGAGCAGUCAUGACGUCAUUAGCUUUAGCCAAUUCCUCCUUUAGAGAGGCUAACUCGGUGCGAAGCUGAGCGUUCUCUUCUUCCAUAGCCCUUUUCUUUCUUCUGUAUUCUCUGGUUCGAUCAAUUCUAUCUGGUUCGUAAACUCUCUGAGCACGAGCCACUUUUCACACUGCGGCAGAGGAACCAGGAGAUAGUGAGCACUUGGAAGCCUUUGUGACCAAUGCAUGAUGCAUAUGAUGCAUGAUAUGCAAAUGCGAAUGCAAAAGACUUAUUUUUUUCAUCGAAGGAUUUUAAAACAAAUUAGAAAUCUUGCAAAUAAACAAAAUUACACAACAUUUUCAACAAGGUAAACAAAUAAAGCUCUCAAGCAUAGGAAGUAGUCGGAAGAUCAUCGGACUCGGAAUCUGAAUCACAGUAUCUGUCAAAGAAAUCUCGUCGUCCUCGAGCUCUCUUGGAAUCCCUCAUAAGCAGCUCGUCUUUCUCUUCCAAUUCCCUCCGGGCCUUAGCUAGCUCUUUCUUCAACAUCAGAUUCUCGUGAGUCUUCUGCUCAUCUCUACCAUCCAAAGUCAUGAUUAGAUUCUCGGCUUGAUUGUACCGAGCUUUCCACACUUGCUUCUCAUGACUCUCCAUAGCUAGAUGCUCCUGAUACAUAUCCUGAGUCGCGGGAAGUAGAGGUAGAGGCAUAGACGGAGUGGAUGAAGACACAUAUCUCAUAGCUGGAUAAGGCAUACCAAUCUCCUCAGCUCGAUCUAUCACCCACUGAGUAUAGGCCUCAUGAGCGACACCGGAUCUCACACCUAGAUGCUUCACACUCUUCCUUCGGACCUUAGACCAAGCAUCCAUGAAAGCUUUCCUUUGUCCGGUGGGAGCAUUCAUGUAGAAGAAGAACUCUGGAGAUGUAGCAAGAUUGAUGGGCUUCGAUUUCAUAGGGAAACCGAACUGUCUCAUAGCAAGCUCGGGGUUGUAGUUGAUUCCUCCACGGGUACCAAGAAGAGGUACAUUGAGAAAGUCUCCGCAACCCAUAAUGAUUUCCUUCACUUGAGCGGCAGGAGUGAGCCAGACGACCUCAUUAGGAGUAAGGGCCAUAAUCCGCUGCGAGUAGGACCAGUUCUCCGAGUUGUCAUGGAAGGAACUCGGAAGGUGCGAAAUAAACCACCUAUACAAAAGAGAUGUGCAGCAAAGAAUAUAUCCACGGCCCUUGAGAGUCCUGUCAUGAAUGGCGUGGUAGGUAUCCGCUAGCAAAGUAGGAACCGGGUUCUUGGAAUGAAAGAUCUCGAUAGCAUUCAUGUCCACGAAGUUGUCGAGGUUCGGAAAGAGGAUGAGCCCGUAGAUAAGCAAAGCAAGAAUAGCCUCGAGUGUAUCCUGACGAGUGGUACCGAGAUUGGCCUGAUCGAGAAGAUACUUCGAAGUGAACCCCCGGAUGUGAGACUUGGUAAUAAGAUGGUUGGAGACGUCGGAAGUCUUGAGGUAGAGAUCCUUAGCAAUAACCAGAGGAGUAAGAGAAGUCCCGGGACCGGUGAAAGGCGUCUUCUCGGCUAUAGGUAAACCCACUAGAUUGGAGUAAGCCUCGAGAGUAGGAACCAACUGGAAGUCCGGGAAAGUGAAGCAACGGAAGCUCGGAUCAUAAAACUGUACUAGAGUGUGCACUAGCUUCUCGUCCACAUCGGUUCGGAGCAAAGUAAGCAAUCCCCCAUACCGGAGUCGGAACCCUGUUUGACUCUUGACCUUGAGUGCCAACUCUCUCAAACUAACCAAAUCCACUUCCUUGAACUUGUAGCACUUAGUCUUCUUCAUACCUGUGAUUAUUUACAAAAAUUUCCAUUUGUUUUAAACCCUUCGAUAAAUGCAUGAAAAAAUGUUUAUGCAUGAAUGCAUGUAUGCAUGAUUGCGUUGUUUAGUUACAAUGUGGGUUGAGGUUCAAAGUAACGGGGCCACGGAUGGACACGGCGUCCGGUGAACUAAGGCUUUGGAUAGUAGUAACCAAGGUUCUAACACAGUUCCCAAACUGCAACCUCUCUCACAUAUAUCAUGGUAGUACAGGACGACACCCGUUCCAUGAUUAUUUGUGAGAAGGUCUAGUUUGAGUGUAGUAUCGCGUGACGACUAAAGUUUGAGACAACACUCAAUUUAGCCACCGCACUACGUCCUAAAAAGGCUAGGAUGGGUUUGGUAACUACGGUUCAUAGCUUCGUCGAACAAUUGAAAGUGAAGUGCCUAAGCAUGACAACACACGCCGACAAUAUCACCUUCAAAAUGCCUCAGCUAUGUGAGAUUGAUCGCAUAAUCCAAUACACGAGGCAACCCCCGGAUCGAAUUGUCGAUUAUAUCUCUACCUAAACAUAAGUUCACUCAGCCCGGGUUAGGACUUUUGAUAUUCUCACCCCACACGUUAGAUGAAAGUAAACAAGUAUUCACAUAUAAGUAAUAAAACAAAGCGUAAAUAUAAACUAAAGAAAACUAGGCGCGACCCGCUAAAAAAAGGUCCCCAGUGAAGUCGCCAUUUCUGUUAUCAUGGUUUUUGGGUGCCAAGCCAUUAAUUGGACUUGAACCUUUUGACCGUUGAUAUCUCUCUUUUUUCUUGGGAAGGGUAAAAGGAGAAAAACCCUUAAAAAGUUCUAGAUUCGGGGGUCGUUUUCACUACGGGAAGGUGUUAGGCACCCGGAGCGAUUAUGGUAUUCCAUAAGAACCGUUCUCCUAAGUUUAUUUCUACGCUUUAGUUUUAUUGCUUAUUUGUAAAAAAGGAAUGUAUGAUUAGUGAAGAAUGGGGGUGAGAAGAAGUAGAAUUUGAUUUUAUUUCGGCUUGGAUGAGUUUUGACUCAUUGCCUACGUACCCUUUUAAGGGAUCAAAACCGUUCGUAGUUCUUGCUAAAAAACUUGUUUUUUGUUUUAAUUGUUUGAUUUUAAGUUUUGAAAAAAAGGUUUUGAAGAAGGAGAUUGGGAGGCUUCAUGAGCAUUAGAUUUAGCAAAAAAGUGAGGUUUGAUUAGUGAUUAGAAAGAAAGUCUAAAUGGUUAAGAUGAAUUGAAUUUUUCUUAAGAAAAAAGAAAGGAAAAAAAAAUGAAGUGUUGACUUCAUACUUAUUAUGAAAAUUUUUGAAGUGAAGUUCAAUUGUUUUUUUUGAAAAAAAGAUGGAUUUUCUCUAAGUGUUUGAAACCUAAGCGCUUAUCUAACCACACAAUCCUAUGCAUACAUCUAAGGUGAGUGUGUGCGUGUCGGUGCGCCAUAGUGUCCAUAGUCCAUAUUACAACAUCUCCUAAAUACAUUCUAUGGCCUCUUUGCCAAGCUACAAACCAAUGGUAAAAUAUUACAUCACCGAACGAAUUACAAUUUGUAAAAGAGAAAACUAAACUAAAGAAGACAAUAGUGAAGAUAAUGAAGUGCUAUGAAGUGAUCAACAUGAAAGGAAAUGUUAGUAGAAAAUGGUAAAAGAAGAAUAUGGCAUAAAGUGAUAGAAGAAAGUAUGGCAUAAGACGGUAGAGUGACGAUGAAAAUAAGCCGGAAACGUGUGAUGAAUAAUGCGUAUGAUGCAAGAAUAAAACCCAGCACAUCAAAACAGUGACAUAUGCAUAGCAAACAGUAGCAAAAUUCAUAUGAAAUAGUAUGCAAAUCAAACAUGACGAAUACGAACAUUAUGCACACGAGGUAACGGGUAAAAAUGCGAGAAAAGUGACUUAAAAUAGUAAAAAAACCCUUGACAAAUCAACACCAAAAUUUUACCAACUUUUCCAAGUAAAAUACCACUGAACAUUAUCAAGAAAAAAAAGUAAAAUGACAUGGUAAUUUUCUUGGUGAAAAUUAGCAUGAACAAAGGGUGCAAACAGCAGGCAGUUAUGGUGCAAGUAGCAAAGAGAAAGAGCAAAAAAACGUAAAAAAAUUUCCAGCCCAAACCAAAAUCCAAUACAGACUGGGCCUGGAUCAUCCAAAGGCUUCAGAGGCGUUGGAUUGAUCCAGAUUCAGAUCUGACGGUUUAGAACACACAGCGCAUGGCAACGUAAAUCAAGCAUAUGGUAACAAUGCAUCACAACCGUUCAAAGGAGAAAACCCUAGAUCCUACGGUUCAAAAUGAAAAUGAAAUAAACCGGACCGGUUCACGCGUCUAUAUAAGGACAUGGAUACCGGUCCAGUCCAUUUCUUUCAUUUCCUUCUCUCUCUAAGUUUCCCUCUCCUCUCACUUCUCUCUAACCUCGCCGCCGGCGAGGAUGAAGCUACGGCGGAGACCUUGAAGGUCCGCCGGAAACUUCAUCUUCUCCGGCGAGUUCAUGAACUCCGGUGACCUAAAAUUUCCAGAAUUUCAAAAUUUCUUCAUCAAUCAAUUCGUCCUUUAACCCUAAACACGAAUCCAGCAGUUGUUUUUUCAAAUUCAAUUCGAAACGAUGUAGAUCUGGAAAUUUGCCGUACGGCUUUGAAUUUGAUUUUGAUUUUUCGAAAGAAAACGUUUAGAUCCUGGAAGAUCUACAUCAUUUCGUUGUUUAACACCUCUUUGAUGUUUGUUUUUGCUUUCAAAACUUAGAUCCUUAUGGAUCUAGGUUUUGUGUUUACGGUUACGGCUUUGGUUUUGAAUUCUGGAAAUUUUGGAUCUGUUUUGCUUGCGUGAUUUUUAGGUUUAACAGUGAUAUUAUUUCUGAGAAAAGUUUAUGAGUUUUACCUAAGGUUUUGGUUGAAACCUUUAAUGGAGGAAAUCUUUGGAAAUCUUGAUUCUGUUCUUGAUGAUUUUGAUUCUGUUUGCUUCACCGGUCCAGAUUCUUCAUCUUCUCUGACUCUUUCUCUGCUUCUCUGUGAUUACGUGCUUGAGCUUGCUUCAAUGUUUCUCAGAUUCACGCGAGGAAACCCUGUGAUCAGUGCUUGAGCUUGCUUCAAUGUGAGCUCGCACUUGGAAUUGCAGGAAAAUCUUCAAUCCGGUGAUGAAGAUUCACACGAAUCUCUGAGGAUUGAUGCAAAAAUGUUGAUUCUGAUGGAAAAUUAGGGUUUCUGGAGAACGGUUAGGGUUUUUUGUUCUUGGUGUUCUUGAUGAAUCUGAGAAAUUUUUCUGUUUUGAUUCAGUUACUAAGAAAAAGAAAAUUGAAUCUGUGUUUAUGAGUUGGCGUGUGAUCCAUGGCUUUGAAUCUGACUCACUGUUUAUAUAGUUGACAUGUGUACUUGAGAUCCAAUAAAAAGGUGACACCUGGAAUUGUAUGAGAGUGGCACGGCUUGGACAAAAAAAGAAAUUUGGACCUUUCUGCAAAAAAUAAAACUUCAAGGACUAAACUGCAAAUAAUCCAAAAAGGACUGAAACGUAAAAAAAGAAAAUUCUGGACUAAAAAUGCAAUUUUGGGACCUCAAUUGAGGGACCAAAAUGCAAUUAAAAAUGAAAUUGAAUAAAAAACGUAAUUUGACCAAACGUAAAGCGAAACAAAAAUAAAAUUGACAAAACGGACUAAAACGAACCAAUUGACCUAAAUGAGGUACUUCAAAGUAACCUCUCUACGCCAAAAUUUCGUGUGAAAUGACCAAAAUGCCCCUAGGGCUAAAAUUGACCAAAACAGAUUCAAAUUGACUCGACACUGACUCAGACGCAAGUUUGAAACGAAAUUAACAAAGUUUACUGAUGAAAUGUAAAAAAAACAAAUUGAAAAGACUCAGAGACAGUCACAAGGAUGAAAAUGGGUCCCACUGCAGGAAAUGACCAAAAUACCCUUCUGUAUGACUUUUUUGCAAAUUUUGAAAUAAACUGUAGAAAAAGCAAUGCACUGAUUCAGAGACACUUUUGAAUGACUUAUAAGACAAGUAAAGACACUUCAAAAGGUUUUAUGCAAGAAAAACAUAGGUGAAAUUGUGAUUGAAAAUACUGCGAGGCAGAGACAAUUUGAACUGUGCAGUUGAAAUUUGAUAAUUGACAAAGUUUGAAAUGAAAUUGGGCCCAGUAUUUUUAGGUCCAAAAACAUGGUAUAACACUCAGUAGUGAGGCUUUCCAAGCUGAGAGCUUAGACUUGAGUUUGUCUGCAAUAGGUUGCAAAUGAGCUCUUUUUGGUUUCCCUUUAAAGAUAGGGACCCCCAGAUAGGUGAAAGGUAAAGUACCUUUGUUGAAACCUAUGAGAUCAGUGAUUUGAUUUAUUCUAGCAAUAGAUAUCGAGCCAUAAAACACAGUUGAUUUUGCCGGGUUGAUUACUUGCCCAGAAGCACUAGCAUAAGAAGAGAAUAAAUCCAUAAGAGCCUGAAUAGAAGAGAUUCUACCUUUGCAGAAUAUCAUGAUGUCAUCUGCAUAUAGAGAGUGGGAAGGGAUGUUAUAUGAUCUUGAACCUUUGAUUAACUCCACUUUUCCUUGUUGAACAAGUUUGGUAAUGUUCCUACUGAGCACAUCUUCAGCAAUACAAAAGAGAAGAGGAGAUAGAGGGUCCCCCUGCCUCACUCCUCUUUGGCAAUGAAAGUAUCCAUUUUGUUUCCCAUUAACUGAUAUGGAGAGAGUUGCGGAUUUGAGAAUUGUAUGAAUCCAAGAGCACAAUUUCUCACAGAAACCAAACUUACUGAGAACUCUGAGCAAAAAUUUCCAUUCCAAUGUGUCAAAAGCUUUGGAAAUAUCCACUUUAAAAGCUAGAUUACCUGCAAAAGAUUUGUGAUGAAGGUGGUUAAUUACUUCUGAGGUAAUGCAGAUUCCAUCUUUGAUAUUCCUCCCUUUUAUGAAUCCUCUUUGUUGCGGAGAGAUAAUAGACUUCAUAAUUGGAGCCAAUCUGUCAGCAAGUAUCUUGGAGAUUAUUUUGAACUUAAAGUUAGCUAAGGCAAUAGGUCGAUAUUGUUCAACUUUCCAAGCAUCAGCCACUUUAGGAAUUAGAAUGAUGGUGUUUGCAUUGAAAUUUGGGAGAAUCCAAUCUUUGGUGAAGAAUUCAGUCACUGCAUUGAUAACUUCUAUCUUUAUGAUGUCCCAAUAUAUAUGGAAGAAACAAGCACCAAAACCAUCCGUCCAGGAGCUCCUUCCUUAUUCAUAGCGAGCACUGUUUGAUGAAUCUCGUCUGGAGUGGGGAUUCUGGUCAAAAGAUUGUUUACCUCAUCAGUAACAAGGUCUGGUAUGGGGUCUUCAAGUAAUUGAUCAACCUGCAAUUCCUGCACAACAUUGUUAGUGGAAAAAAUAUUUUUAAAGUGAUUUGUAAUGAGACUUGAUAUUUCCUCCGGGUCAGUAACCAUGUCAUCACCAUUCAUGAGGCUGUUAAUGAGUUUAGAAGAGUUUCUGAUUUUGGAUAGUCUAUGGAAAAACUUGGUGUUUCUAUCACCAUCUAAGUGCCAAGCACAUUUGGAUUUUUCCCUCCAGUAUUCUUCUUCAAUUUGCAAGGCAUUCUCUAAAUUUAAUUGAGCAUCUCUGUGUUGGUCUAUCAAAGAAUCUGUGGUUCCAAUGGCGUCAAUGUCAGAUUGAAUGAGGGAGAGGUUGUGUUCAGCUGUUCUAACCAUGUUGUGUACAUCUCCUAAAAUAGUUUUGUUCCAGUCUUUCAACUUUUGUUUCAGCAGCUUAAGCUUCUGGUUUAAAAUGAACAUAGGGCAUCCAACAAAAUUUGUGUUCCAAGUUUCUUGGAUCAGCCGCUUGCAAUCAUCAUGAUGAGUCCACAUUUGCAUGAACUUAAAUUGAGACCUGAAGCAGAUAUUAGAGUUUUCAAAUUCCAGUAAAAGAGGGAAGUGAUCAGAUUUGUGGUUCACUAGGGUUGAAACAUUUAUAGUGCUGCAGACAUCCAACCAAUCCUGAUUGCAGAUUGCCCUGUCUAAUCUUCUCUCUGUUGAUCUUUGGCCACUUCUUCUAUUUGACCAUGUGAAUUGGAUUCCUCUAGUUGGCAAGUGUACGAAGUUAUUGGUGUCUGACCAACUAUAAAAUUCGUUCAUAGGUGCCCUUGCUGGAGGAAGUGCACCUCUAUGCUCAUGGGAUCCUAAGAUAGAAUUAAAAUCGCCAAUGGCACACCAGGGUAUGUUGAGGUUGUUGUAAAUGUGUUCAAGACUGAGCCAAAGGUUUCUUCUGGUAAUAUAAUUGGUAGAGGCGUAGAUGGCUGAUAUACAAAAAGGUUGGUUAUUAUGUACAAAAGUGAAAGUGACAUGUUGACUGUCUGAUGUAAUGAUAGUAGGGUUAAGGUUUUUAGCACAAAAGCACCAGAGAUUUGGGGUGUUGUUUUGUCUAUUGUUAAAAGCAAAAGGUUUGAAGUUCAAAGAAUUGAACCAAUUUCUGGGUAAAUGCUCGUAGUGCAUCCAGGGUUCAGAAAUGAAAAUGAAUUUAGGUUUAUUUGCUAAAAUAAAAUUUUUCAGGGCUAACCUUGAUGAGGAGUUAGCCAUCCCUCUAAUGUUCCAAUAUAGACACUUCAUUGGGAAGGCCUAGUUGGAACCUUAGAUCUUGUAAGGUAUGAUGAACUGGCCUGUGAUUUCAAAGCUUUUGCUAAUUUUUUCUUAGCUGAUCUGCUGGUGACUGUUUGGAAACCUGCAGUAUCAAUAUUCUGUUGAAUCUCAUGAGCUAUUUGUUGAUCAAUUUCUAAUUCUGCUGCAAUGGAUUCAUUAAGUGCUUGUUGUUGCAUUCUGAUCUGCUUUUCGUCAAUACCUUCAAGGUUGGCCCAGGAUUCAUUCAGAAAAUGAAUGUCAUUUUGGAUUCUAACAGGUGUUACUAGUGCAUCAGUAUGCAUUUCUGGUUCCCUUCUUUGUGUUGCAUCCACAAACUCAGAUUCUUGACUUUCCCCAUCAUCUGAUUCUAAAGGCUGGUCAAGUGAAUUGUUUGCAAUAAAUUCAUCAUCAUUAACCCUGUUAUCACUGGGAGUAGGGGAAGCAAUAACAGGUUCCAAAUUGAUUGGAGAUUUCCUGAUGUUGGCUUGCUCUUCAUCAGCUUCUGUCUCAUUAAGCAAUGUUGUUACGUCCCUGAUUGGCUCUUCCUUCUCUAAAUCAAUCACAUUAGUAUCUUUAGGUAUCCAAACAUUUGAAUGAUCCUUUGCUUUGGCAUGAACCUUACCUGCAUCAAUACCAGACUCCUUAGGUUUGUUUUUCCAACCAUUAUUUGUCUUCAUGGCCUUUCUGCAAACAUCUACACCAUGCCCCACAGUUUUACAAAAUCUGCAAAACUCAGGGAAAUUCUCGUAUUCAAGUUGUACAAAGAAAGCGAAACCUUUUCUUUCCACCAAAACUUCAUGUUUCAAAUGAUCAGACACAUCAAUGUCAACCAAAACCCUAGCGUAGUGUCCAAACGUUCUCUCUAGGGCUGGCUUGCUUGUGACUGAGUCCACACAUAUUGGUGUGCCAGCACUACUCGCAAUGGCAAAAAUGAUUUUCUUUCUCCAAUAUUCCUGAGCGAGUCCGUGGAUCCUCAACCAAACCUGCGCAGAUGAGUUCGAUUGUUGGCUAGGGCUAAAAUCACGUGACCAGGGAAAAAGCUUCAAAAAACCAGGGUUUAGUGGCCAAGAGUUUACAGAUCUAACUCUUCGAGCAUCUUCAAUCGAAGAGAAAACGAAUUCAUAAUAUCCUUUUCCAAUGGACGUAACCCCCCAAGGGUGAAGAUCUUUCCAAAUAGGCUUCAGCUUAUCUCUCAACGCCAUCACUGUUAAAGGAGAAGAACCCUUCGGCCAGAUAACCCUCGCGUGAAGGUUAUUCUUGCAUGCAUCUAAUCCAAGAUCAUAUUCAUCAUCAGGGAUCAAAAUUGAGAAUUUAUCUCCUUUGAGGGUAGGUUUGGGCAGUUGUGAAUCUGGGAUGUCACAAACGUUUGACAAAACUUGCGCAAAUGUUUUUUGAAUUGUGGGUUGAGUUUUGUGGUUGGUUUUUGGUACGAUCUUUGUUGGAGUGGAGUCAUCAAGGCAUUUCCAAGGUAUAGUGAAAGGUUUGGCUGAUGUUGAGGAAGAGGAAGGCAUGGCGGUGGUGAAGUUGAUGUAUGGCAUGAAGGUGGUGAUGAACAGUAGCUAAUCGCCAGAGAAAAAAUCAAGUCCCAUGAUCCUCAAAAAUCCAUAGAAAACCAUUUAACAAACUUAAUUAUUCAAUAUUCACACAAAACCCUUAUUAAUUUUAAAAGGUAAUGUGAAUCACACUAUUUUGAUUAAAUUAAUUUAAAAUCAUUAUAGAUUAUCUUAUACAUUUAUUGGAGAAAGGAAGGAGAAUCACAUGAUUUUAAUGCAUUAAUGAUUAAUAAAGCAAUCAAGUAAGACAAUUGGAUUUAAUACGUAAAUAAUAACUCUUAAUCUAAUGACAAAUUAACAUGUAUCAUUUUUAUGUUGUUGAGCCAAUUAUAAUGCCUCAUUUUAGUUUUAUUACAUCAUUUUUUUAUUUUUAAUUUGCUUCAAAUAAUAUUUUACUUAUACUAUUAACUAUGUACCACAUGUUUCUUCAAUAAUUUCAUUUGCAUAUUUCUCUUUCAUGGAGUGUUGUAAUAACAUCAAGAUCUGAUAACAUCUAUGAAAUCAAUCCAUAGAAGGAAUCAUAGAGCAUAUUCGUUCAAAUUGUUCGUAAUUCGUUCGUGAUGUUGAUCAUGACACACCUGUUUACUUGAGAAAUAUUCAAAUGAGUACUGCUCCCAAAACAAAACAAAAAAAAAUACAUAUUAUGAAAUAUGUUACCCUUUUGGAUAAUCCUACUAUAUGGGCUCUCAUAUCCUUAAACAACAGUAAAUAGCAUGCAUUCCAUAUCUGUGAGCAUGCCUCAUUUAAUAUGACAAUGCAAUGUAAUGUGCAAGGGUUGGAGUCUGAAUUCAAAUUUGAAUGAUCUUAUGAAAUUCAAAUUUCUUCUAUCUAUUUAUUAUAACAAAAAAAAAAAUCCUUAUGUCUAAUUAGAAUGAUUUCCUCAUAUCCAAAUGACUUUGACUUUCAUUUGUAUUCAUUGCUGCUAAAUUAUAUAAGGCUAUAAACUACUAUUAAUUGGACUCUUAUAACAUUAUGGAUCAUCGUUCAGAUUUUAGAUGUAGUCACAUUUACUAUUGAUAUACACCUCAAAUAUGGUAAACUCCGGUUGAGAAAACAUAUUUCAAACUAAAAAACAAUGCAUAAAUGCAUGUUAAAAAAUAAGGUCAAACAUAGACAUAUCAUGUUCAAAAAGGUUGGUUGGUGGUGGUUUCAUAUUGAUCGAUUUAUGUUCGUUUAUUUUUUAAGAAGAAAGAAAGAAAAUUAAAAGGAAGAAAUAUGGUGAAUUCUAGGAUGAGGGUUCAAUUAAGUCCGUCACCGGUAGACCACUUUAAAGAGUAAUUAAGAGCCAAUAGAUCAAUCUCUCUCACACAUCUUACUAUGCACUUUAUGCACCACAUCACAACAUUCCUUUUUAUUUUUAUUUUUCCUCUCUUCUCUUCCGUCUUCCCGAUCUCUACUUCAAACAUCACAUAGUCAUUAACAUAAUAGACCAAAGUAAGACAUCAAAAUAAUAAAACACAGACAGUGUAAUCAAAAUUCCAAGAGUGUCCUUCGAAAGAACAUCAUAUGUUGAGGAUAUAAUUUCUUUCUAAAUCAACAAAGUGAACAUGAAUCUUGGUGAAAAUUUAGAGACUACUCUCAAAUUUUUAUUUUUUUAAUGAUAGCCAAUGUGUUCCAUUUUUUUCCAAUAAAUUUGAUCCCCUUUGAUGUCUCUGACCCGUUGGGUGAAUCUUGAAUUUUGUAAAAACAAUAACAAUUAAUAAAAAUAAUAAUAAUUGCAAUUUCUUCUAUCUGGGUUUGUGAAAACAUGCAAUAGGUUAUUAGUUUUAAUUUUUUGGUAGAAAUUCUCAAAAUAAAUGUUGAAAUAACACUAUUAACAUUUUUACGGUAAAGGUCUCAGAAGUUUGAUUUUAGGAAAUCUAUUGAUUUGAAUCUAACAUUUUUACAUGUAAUUGGCAUUUUAACGAGAUUUGAAUCAAAUCAUAUUAAAAUAACUAUGAAAUUAUCAUGAAAGAUGCACUUUUACAGCCUGUUUGGUUUGAGAGAGAGAAAGGGGAGGAGAGAAAUAGUUAAGAAAGUGUCAAUUUCGUUCGUUUGGAACACGAGAGAAACAGGUGCGAGAGACUAAACCAGCGUGGGUCCCACACCUUUUUUCUUCUUCUCUAACCUGCGAAGAAAACAGAGAGAAAGCUUCCUUAAUUCAUUUUUCCAUUAAUGCCCAAAAUCAUCCUGCCUUGGAAUUUUCCUUUUUAAUGGCAAAAAAAAAUUACAGAAUAAAUCAUCCUGCCUUUUUUUUUUUAAUCAAUAAAUCAUCCUACAUUGUAUCUGUGAAAGAAGUCCAUAGAAGACAGAGGUUGAAAACAAACCAGAUUUAAUAAUAACAAUCUUUGAUGGAUUUAUCAAAAACCUAUAUUAAGUUAAAACUGAAAAUUUGUGUUUAGAGAAGGAGAAGUUAAUACUAACAAAAAAAUGAUUGUGGCUGAGACGAAAGGAGAUAACGUGUCUGUAUACCAUGAUGAUCUUUGGGUUAACUAUGGAUGGAUAUUUAUAACUUGAUUUAGUCAAUUAAAUUUAAAACUAAAAGUUAUAAUAAAAAUAUUUAUCAAUCCAAAUUUAUAAUUUCUAAAAUUACAAACAUAAUCUAAUAUGUUACUUUGGAUUAAAUUAAAUUACUAGAAAAUUUAUUUAAAUUAUUUAAAAAAUUAAAUAGAUAGCUCUAAAAACAAUAAAUUAAUUUUUAUAUUAGGUUUUUCAAUUAAGGGUAUUUUGGUACAUUUCAAAAUAACCAACACUUCUUUCUUCUCUAUCUCUUCUAUCUGUCUCUUAUACCAAAGAACCUAUCAAAUCAACUCUAUUUCUCACUUAUUUCUCUCUUUUCAAACUCUCUCUUACCUAUUUCUCUCUUCACGAUUUUCUCUUCUAAGCCAAACACACCCUGGGCUCAACCGAGAGAAGGUUUGGGAGCAGAGAAGGCCUGAGAGGAAGAGGAGGAAGAAGAUAGUUGUGAUGUGGUGGAUACAGUCUUUAAAGUGGAGAUAGAUGUGGUGCAUAGUAAAAUGUGUGAGAUAGAUGGAUCUAACGGUUAGUAGUUACUCUUUAAAGUGGUCCACUGGAGGGACUUGAUUGAAUUCUCACCAUAGAAUCCACGAAGAGACGAAUAUGAAAAAGAAAUUCGAACAUGAGAGAAGAUGAGGAAACAAGGUAUUAUGUGUUUUGUUCGCAAGAGUAUAUGGAAUAAUGGGAGUUGUUGGUAAUAUUAUGAGUUUGUUGAAGAAGUUGGAUAGUUCUGGGUAAUUAUUUUACCAAAAAAUUAGAUUCAAUUAAAAAAAAUACCACAAAAUUUUAAAUGUUUAAUGAACAUGUAUUUUGUCAACUCAGUUUUCCAUUAUCACUUGCCACCAAAGACCGAAAGUAAAUGAAUUUAAAAUAACAGUGGUUGAAUGAAAAGAUUCACGUGGAAGAGAAUGAUAUCCAAAAACUAUAUUUUAAGCAAACAAAUUAAACAAAUGACAUCUAAAAAUUAAAGAAAAAACAGUUCAUCGUAAGUUUGUGACUUUUGAGAGAUCCUACAUCAAGUUUGAUCAUCAUAUUACACUAAGAGAAUAAACACAAGUGAUUUUGACACCAUAUUUUCACCCUAAAAAUUAAGGCAUUAGAUAUAUGGAUGAUGGAAACGAACAAAGAAAAACUGGUAUGAAAGUGAACAACAUGACCAUUUCAAAUGGUAUGGAAGCGAAUGACUUCCAAUGACCAAAAUUCAAGAUAAAAAAUCAAACAUAAACUAGUAAGAAGUAACAAACAUAAAGCAAAAGAAUUCCUGAACAAAAUGUCAACUCUAAUUAGUUAUCAAAAGGCCUUACAUCCGAAAUUUAACAAAAUAGUUUAUCAUAUUUUUGGGACUUCCAUGGGAACCUAAAUUAGGUGGGAUAGUCAUAUUAGACCAGUAGCAACCCCACAAGUGCGUUUGAUAUUAAAUAUUCACGCAAAGCCUGUAGGCACUAGGUAUAUGAGAUAUCACACUUAUUUGUUAUUCGAAAUAUACUCUUGCAUCCACUAUGUAGAAAGUUAACUUAUACUUGACACAUUAAAAUCAUUUAAUUAAGUAUGCAACUAUCUGCAUUCCUAAUUAUGUGACAUAAUCAUAUAAAGUCAAACAGAGACAUAACAUGUUCAAAAAGGUGAGUUGAUGGUGAUUUCAUAAAGGGAGGUUUAUGUACCUUUAUUUCAUGAGAAUAGAGAACAUAAAUUAGAAGAAACACAAUGAAUACGAAAAAGAAAUUUGAACAUGAGAGAAAUAAUAAAGAAAAAAAUGUAGCGUGUACUUUUUCUAUGAGUAUAGGAAAUAAAGUUAGUUGUCGGUAAUUUUAUGAGUUUGUUUAAGGAGUAAGAGAUUUCUUGGUAACUAUUUUACCAAAAAAUUAUACUUAAUUAAAAAAAUGUCACAUUAUUUUAAAAUGUUUACUAAUUAGUAAACAUUUCAAAAUAAUUACCCAGAAAAAAAUGUUGAUGUGUUAUACUAAGUUGACAAAAUACAUAUUUAAAUAUGUAUUUUUUCAACUUAGUAUAACAUGUAACGCCCUAGUCGUUUUUUUAUUAUUUUUAGAAUUAGUUAGAAUCUUUGUGUGUUUUUAAUUAAUUUAUGUGAUUUAUGUGGUGUGUAGUAUUUAUUUAUAUAAUUUAUUUAAUAUAAAUAGAAUAAUAUGUGAAGGUGAGAAAAACACAAGAAGGGGGGGGGGGGGUUGAAUUGUGUUUUCUUUUUCUCUCUUAAAAAAUACUUCUUCUGAUAAAACUUCAGAAGCAGUUUGUGAAUGCUUCUGAUGAAAUGAUCAGAAUCAGAUAUGCAGCGGAAAAGAACAGAGCAGAGAAAAGAAGGGCAAAGACACAAACAGUUAUCCUGGUUCCUUCCACAAAUCGGAAGUAGUCCAGUCCCCCUUGCACUUCCAAGGAGAUUUCACUAUAAUCACAAAGAUUACAAAUGCUCAAUACUCUUUAAGUAUGAGACUUCUCAAAAAUGCUUAAGCACACACGCAAGAGUCUUCCAAUGCUCAAGCACUAAGCAAGAGUCUUCUAAUGCUCAAGCACGCAGGCAAGAGGCUUCUGAUCAAACAAAAAUACAAUGAAUUAAGUUUGACUUGAACACUUGAUAUACAAUCAGUGGUGUUCACAAUACAAUACAAUAAAGACUCUAGACUUUUGAAUUUCUAAGAUGUAUCAAAUCAGUGCAGAAAUUCAAUGUGCUUUUUAGAAUCAAAUUGACAGAGUUUUGGCGCUUUUUAACUUGUGUAUCUCUAUCUACUAUCUUCAAGUCUUCACUCCUUUAUAUAGAGGUGUGAAAGAGACGUUGAGAUGAUUAGCACGUCUAAAGAGUCAUUUGAAAUCCUUUGAUCAUUCACCAGUAAUCCUUUGCCUGAUUUGGGUGUUGUCCUUUGAAGAAUUAGCUUCAAAUUCAUUCCCAUCUUGAAGGCACAAAUUCUGCAGGCAUAGCUGUUGUCUUGUCUUGUAGCGUGGACAAAACAGAGUAGUGGAGGUAGUGGUUGUACACUUGUACUUUGUCAACUCUGUUAACGAAGGACAAAUGCUCAGCGCUAUCCAAAUGACCGUUGAUACCUCCCUUUCAAUUCUUCGUUCUUCUUAGAUAAGGUUGAAAUGAGAAACAGCUACUUUGGAUCUUCAGUUUGAAUAUAUGGAUUAAAUGUAGCUUCUGGUGAUGAUUUCGCUUCUGAUGAAAACCUUGCUUCUGAUGAGCUUCUGCUUCUGAUGACGUCAUCACUUCAGAAGCACUUCAGCUUCAGAAACACUAUAAGCUUCAGACGCAGUUUUCUUCAGAUGCUUAGAAUUUCUUUUUCUUUCCAUUGUUCUUCCAAGACCUAUUGAAAUUACUUGACUAGCCUUUGGUCCUGUACACUUGAACAAUUAUUAGUAAUAACCAAUUGACAAUUUUUAAUACCUUUUUAUCAUCAAAACUCAUUAAGGUUCAUUGUGAAACACAUUUUGUUCCAACAAUCUCCCCCUUUUUGAUGAUGACAAACAAUAGUAUUUAAAAUGUUCAAUUGUUGUUGAUCUAAUUAAUAAGUUGACUAUUGGGAUAGAGGUUUGUAAGCUCCCCCUGAGUUCUAUUCUUAUUAAUUAAAUUUCAAUAAAAAUACUCAUAAAAUAUCAGAAGUAUUAAAGAAAAGGUUUAGAAGAGGUUCUGAGCAAAGCUCAAGUUAUUAUAAUGGGGCUCAGAGCCUUAAAAUACUAUACAUCUACUCCCCCUUUUGUCAUCAACAAAAAGUAAGUAAAAACAAAAGAAAGAGUAUCAGAGCAACAAAAGGAUAAACUUUAAAAUACAGUGUAUCAGAGUAAACAACAGUAAAAAAAAUGCAGCAAAUAUUAUCAGAGCAAAAGCUUAUAAAUAGCAUGAUUCAGAAGCAAUGAUAAAAUAUAUGAUAUGCAAGUCAAAGUACAAAGUCAUAGCAAUUAUAAUACUUAAAACAAAAAUCUAAACAAGCAACAUAUGUGUGCAACUAAGGUUUGGCUAGCUUAGACAUCUGUUCCAAUAGAUAUUUAAUCUGCUCAUCCUUCUUCUGAAGUUGUUCUUUCUGUGCUCUCAGUCUUCUUUUCAGCCCAGCUUGAAUUCUAUCAGCCCUUGAAGUGUAAUCAUCUUCUGGAUAGAAAGGAGAGUUGGCUAACAGAGGCACAUAAUCCAGCUCCUUCACUAUAGCUGCUUCAUGCAUAUCAUCCGACAUUUUCUUCAGCAUUGCAGAGUGAGAUGAGAUACAUUUUGUGCUUAGUUGAUCCAGCAGCUCAUUAAAACCUUUCUUCAGAUCCAUCCAUUGAUCCAGAUAGUGAAUGAGAGGUACAGGAACUGUUCUGAGAAGAAUCAGUGUCUGAAUCUCAUCACUAAGCCUAAUAAGCUGUUCAUCUAUAUACUCAGAUUCUAGGAUGGUGUCUGGGAUGGGUGUUUGAGAUGUAGAAGGUUGAUUUGAGGUUGUUUGAUGGUCAGAAGAGGUUAGGUCAAUUAUUGGUGGUUCUGGUUGUUGUUGUUGUUCUGUGUUGGUCUGGGUUGUUCUGUGGUAGUUUGAUCUAGGUCAGAAACAGCCUGUUCAGGAACAGUUGGUUCAGGAACAGUUUGUUCUAGGUCAGAAGCAACUUGUUCAAGAACAGUUUGUUCAGGAACAGUUUGCUCAGGGAUGGUUUGAGUUUCUGUUUGGGUUUCUGUUUGUUGGUUUUCCAAAACAGUCUUUUCAGGGACUGUCUUAGAGGCCUUUGUGGGUGUAGGUUGCAUUUCACCACCUAAAUGCUUUUCUAAGUUAUGAAGAGUUGAUGAUUCUUGGUGUUGGGGGGUUUCUGAAGUAGUUGCAUCUGAAACUACUUUAGAGGCUUUUUGUGGAGAUUGGUUAUUUUGUGGGUUGGUUUCAGGAAAUUGUAUACUAACAGCUUCUGGAAUUUGUGGUUGAAAAAAGUGAUCUUGAGGCAAAUUGAAUUUUUCACAGAUUUUUAUCCUAUUCUUAGAAAAUUCAAUUUGGGUCUUUUCAUAAUCAAUUGUUCCAUAGGUUGUUAGUUUGGUAGGUUUGCGAUUUAGUAGUUUUUCAAUGUGUUGACUAAGGGGUUGGUCAUCUGAUUCAGUGGAUGAUGAUGAGGGUGAAGAGGGAAGGUCAGGAAUCUGAGUAUUGAUGUCAGUUUUUAGAGAAGUACCUGAAGAGUGAGGUUCUGGAUGAGCUGCUUCUGAAGCUUUAGAAGCUGGUUCUGAUGAAGUAGCUUCUAAAGCCUGCUUGUUUUUCAAAGCUUGAGAUAGCAGUUUCACUCCCUCCUGAACAGUUUCCUUUUCAACCUCAGCAGCCAACGCAGCAAACUCAGCAGCCUUGAGUUGUUCCUCCUUUUUCUUCUCCUGUCUCAACUUCUUCAGCCUUGCCUUCUCAGAAGUGAUAUAGUCUCUAGCAUAUUGCCAUUGUUCUUCUGAAGGAACAAACAUUGGCAUUACACUAGGCUUACUCUUAGCCUUUUUAGCACUUGGCUCUUCUUCUGGCUGUUCAGCUUGAUCUUCUGUGCUUCCUUCAGAAGUUUUCAGAUCCCUUGUUCUCUUGAUUCUGAUGGUUUGAAGAGCAGCUUCCCUAGCAUCAGAUUUCUUGACUUUCUGCUUCUGAACAUCUUCUUCAGAAGCAGGAGCUUGUUCAGAAGCUACAGCUUGUUCAGAAGCAGAAGCACUUGCUUUGGAUUUCUUGGGCUUUGGUGCUGCAACCUCAACCUUUGUCUCUUUUCUUGUCCUCUUUCCUUUCACUUUGAGAGGAGCACCUCCAAUCUUCUCAGGAAUAGAUGCAACACUGAUGAUUUUCCCGGUGAGCUCAAAGUGAGCUUUGAUGAACUGAUACAGAACCUCAGGAUUAUCCUCUUUAGAGAUUGAGGGGAAAUCCGUCAUAAGAUAUGAUUGAACAGUUUCUAUAGUCAAAUCCCUGUUGGACGUGACUACAUCAUCAAUUAGCUUCAUAGACCUCAGAGUCCUUCCAUUGAUGAUUUUUCCAACACAUGUUCCUAGCUCCUCAUCUGAAGAUACCCAUGUUUCUCUGAGAUACUUCAGAAGCUUCCCUUGAACAAAAAUUUCAGAAAGUAGCCUUCCAAAGGGAAUUUGCCUUCUUCCGUUCUUUUGGCUUUCCUUCAGAGCCCAGCACAUAUGAUGAAGGAUAUACUUUGGCAAAUUUAUUCUUUGAUAAGUUGCAAGGCAGUACAUAACUACCUUGUGAUCCAAAGAUGGAGCAUCUGUACCUCCUCCCUUUUGGAAAAUGCAUUCUGACAGAAUUUUCUUUAAAACCCUGUGAACAGGUGAUAGUUCUGAAGAUUUUCCCUUUGCAUUUCCUUGGAACAGGACUUCAUUGACCUUUUCUUCCCACUGGCUCUUAACAGCUUCCACCUGAUAUAAACCAGAAUUUUCACAUCUGCAUACUCUUGCAAUGAUGUCUGCAGUAAUACUGAUCUCCAUUCCCAUCACGGCAGACCUUAUCUCAGUUCCUUCAAACGGUUUCAAACCCAUUUCUGUUCUUGAUUUCCCUUUCAGCUUACGGUUCUUCUUUACCAUCUCAGAUUCUUCUUCUUCAGCAGCUUUUCUGUCAAAUAUCUCUGCCCUGACCCAAAAGUCUUUUACCAAAUUCAUAUAUGUAGGACCAUUCAGCAUACUAACAUAUUGAAUCAUAUGCUGAGCGGUAAAAUGAUUUUCGAUAUCCAUCCCAUUCCUUUUUAAUGAACCAAAGUCUAUGGAAGAUUCCACUUGAACGUCCAAUCUAUCCAAGGGUACAGUCAUAGUUCUUUCCUUUAGAACAUAUGAUUUGUUGGUGUUGAUUCUGAUAGAUGGAACUGAGCUAGAAGAUGCCAUUUGAUUGAUUGAAGAUUGAAGAGGGUUUCUAGGGUUUGAAGUUUCUUAGCAGAGAAGGUUUGAAAUGAAAUGAGAGUGUGAGUUGUGAAGUGAGUAGUGUGUGUUUUUGCUUAAGUGUAUUUAUCAAAACGUUUGCAAUUCAAAAGAGACAAACAAACAUAGCAUUAAUGACAAAUUAGGGGCGCGUGUUAGUACGUUUAAAAGCAAAUAAAACAUCAUUGCCUUUUUUGUUAUACUCCAAUACAAAUAGACCACGUCAGAAAUUUUUCAGAAAACUAACCUUUGGGUAAUGGGACAGCUGUUACAAAAAGUAACUGCCAACGUUCCCACUAGCCAGCUAUUCAGAAGCAAAGAAUACCGCUUCUGAAGUUUUAGUGCUGACGUCAUCUUCAGAAGCACAUUUUCCUCAGAACCUCAGUUAAGAGCUUCUGAUGGACCAGAUGCUUCUAAAUGGACUUCAGAACCAAGCUUCUUAUUCAGAGGCAAGCAAUUUUUCAAUCAGACACAAAGUGCAUGUUCAAAUUUUUCUUAAUAAAAUCAAAUCUUUCAACAGAUAAAGGUUUUGUAAAUAUAUCAGCCCAUUGAUGUUCAGUAUCAAUGAAUUGUAUAUCUAAAAUUCCUUUUUGAACAUAGUCUCUGAUAAAAUGGUGUUUGAUCUCAAUAUGCUUGGCUCUAGAAUGUAGAAUUGGAUUCUUUGACAAACAAAUAGCAGCAGUAUUAUCACAAAAGAUGAGAAUACUGUUAGCAUUAAUCUGAUAAUCUUCCAACUGAUGUUUCAUCCAAAGUAGUUGUGUACAACAACUUGCAGCUGAAAUGUAUUCUGCUUCUGCUGUAGACAUAGCAAUAGUUGCUUGUCUUUUGCUUGCCUAGGAUAUCAGAUUCUCUCCCAGGAAUUGACAAUUUCCACUGGUUGAUUUUCUUUCAAUCUUGUCACCAGCAUAAUCAGCAUCACAGAAUCCAAUCAACUUAUAAUCUAGGGAUUUCCUAUACAGGAGUCCAAGAUUAGUUGUUCCUUUCAGAUACCUGAAGAUUCUCUUAACUGCAGUUAAAUGAGAUUCUCUAGGAUCUAGUUGAAAUCUUGCACACAAGCAUACACUGAAUAAAAUAUCAGGUCUAGAUGCAGUGAGGUAUAACAGAGAACCAAUCAUACCUCUGUAUAGCUUCUGGUCUACUACAGUUCCAGUAUCUUCUUUGCUUAAGGUGCAGGUUGGAUGCAUUGGAGUGUUCAUCACUUUACAAUCUUCUAGCUUGAACUUCUUCAGAAGAUCCUUUGUAUAUUUUGUUUAAUGAACAUAUACUCCUUCUUUACUUUGGUUGAUUUGAAUUCCAAGAAAGAAUUUCAAUUCUCCCAUCAUGCUCAUUUCAAAUUCAUCCUGCAUUAGCUUAGAAAAUUCUUUGCAAAGAGAUGCAUUAGUAGAACCAAAUAUUAUAUCAUCAACAUAUAUUUGCACAAUCAAAAUGUCUUUCUUAAGAGUCCUUCUGAAGAGUGUUGUGUCAACUUGUCCUCUUUCAAAAUCAUUUUUAAUUAAGAAAUUACUUAGUCUAUCAUACCAAGCUCUGGGAGCUUGUUUCAAGCCAUAUAGUGAUUUCUUAAGUUUAUAAACAUGGUCAGGAUGCUUAAGAUCCUCAAACCCAGGAGGUUGUUUCACAUACACUUCUUCUUCAAUGACACCAUUAAGAAAAGCACUUUUGACAUCCAUUUGAUAUAAUGUUAUGCCAUGAUUAAUUGCAUAGGAUAGAAGUAACCUGAUUGCUUCCAAUCUUGCAACUGGAGCAAAUGUUUCAGUGUAAUCAAUGCCUUCUUGUUGACUGUAACCUUGAGCAACAAGUCUGGCUUUGUUUCUGGUUACCUCUCCUUGUUCAUUCAGCUUGUUUCUGAAUACCCAUUUUGUUCCAAUAAUGUUCUUCUGAAAAGGUUUGGGUACCAGAUCCCACACAUCAUUCCUCUGAAACUGAUUUAGCUCUUCUUGCAUAGCUAAUAUCCAUCCAUCAUCUGAGAGAGCUUCUUCAACAGUUUUAGGCUCAAUUAUUGAAAGCAAACCUAUCAAAGAUUCUUCUUGUCUGAAAUGAGAUCUUGUUCUUCUAGGACUAUCUUUGCUUCCAAUGAUUAGCUCCUCAGGAUGUGAAGAUUUGUGCUUGAAUUUAGGUUGAAUAACCUGCUGAGUGUUAUCUUGAAUAUCCUCAGAAGCAUUUUCAUUCUGUAAUACUGGACUAGGUUCUGCUUCUGAAAUAGACUCAGCUUCUGGAGUAGUUUCAGCUUCUGGACUAGAUUCAGCUUCUGAAUGCUUUUCAGAAUCAGAAGGUUGAUCAGAUUCUGAUGCAUCUUCAGAAUCAGUUGUACCUGCAUUACUUUCACUUUGCUCUGGAGUUUUACUUCCAGGCUCCCUAUCAUCAAAUUUAACAUGCAUAGAUUCUUCAACACAAUGUGUUUCUGAAUUAUACACUCUGUACGCCUUUGACCUUUCAGAGUAACCUAAAAAGAUUCCUCUUUGAGCCUUGGCAUCAAAUUUCUUCAGAUAGUCUUUAGUGUUUAGAAUGUAACAAGUACAUCCAAACUGAUGAAAGUAAGAGAUAUUGGGUCUUCUUCCUUUAAAGAGUUCAUAUGCAGUUUUCUCGAACAUAGGUCUGAUAUAGAUCCUAUUUUGAAUAUAACAUGAAGUAUUAACUGCUUUUGCCCAGAAAUGUUUAGCUAAAUUGUUUUCAUGGAUCAUGGUUCUGGCCAUUUCUUGUAAGGUUCUGUUCUUUCUCUCUACAACCCCAUUUUGUUGUGGAGUUCUAGGAGAAGAAAAUUCAUGGAGAAUCCCAUGUUUUUCACAAAAAGAUUCAAAUGGCUCAUUUUCAAAUUCUCCACCAUGAUCACUUCUGACUUUCAAAAUUUUCAAUUCUUUUUCAGAUUGUAUUUGAGUACAGAAGCUGCUAAACACUUCACAUGCCUAGUCUUUACUUUUAAUGAAUUUUACCCAAGUCCAUCUGCUGUAAUCAUCAACAAUGACUAAUCCAUAUUUACUUCCAUAUAAAGAUGCAGUGUUAACUGGUCCAAAAAGAUCAAUAUGGAGUAAUUCUAAGGGUCUUGAGGUUGAUACAAUGUCUUUGGAUUUGAAAGUACUUUUCACAAUUUUCCCUUUCUGACAUGCACCACAAAGUGCAUCUGAAUGAUAAUCAAUGUUAGGCAAUCCUUUGACAAGUUGUAACUUGCUAAUUUUAGAAAUUAAUCUCCAAUUAGCAUGUCCCAACCUUCUAUGCCAUACCCACUUUUUAUCAUUCAAUGACAGAAGGCAAACUACCUUCUGAUCAGCCAGAUCAGAGAAAUUAAUUUUAUAGACAUUCUCAAUUCUCUUUCCCUUGAAUGUAAUGGAUUUGUCAUCCUUGUUGACUAGUGUGCAGUUGGUCUUACUGAACAUUACAUCAUACCCAUUGUCACAAAAUUGACUAAUGCUCAAUAGGUUAUGCUUCAGACCAUCUACAAGCCACACAUUAUUAAUUGAAAUGGAGGAAUUACCAAUAGUACCUGUACCAAUGAUUUUUCCAGUUUAGUUGCCACCAAACUUCACUUCUCCUCCAUCUUUCAUGGUGAGGGUAAGGAACAAAGCUUUCUCUCCAGUCAUGUGCCUUGAACACCCGCUGUCUAGGUACCAUGACCUUUGUUUCUCUUUUGCCCUUAGGCACACCUGCAGUUUUAACCACUUCAAAUUUAGGUACCCAUAUCUUCAUGGGUCCUUUUGGGUUAGUUCUGGAGGUUUUACUUUUCCUCCCUUGUACCUUGAGGUGAGUGCUGGGUAGCUUCUGAUCAUUCAAUACUUUAGGUUUAACACCUUUGGGUAUUGUUUUCUCAGAAGCAGUAGCUGCUUUGUUCUUCUGAUCCUUUGGCUUUGGGAUUUUAGAUUCUGGUUUAAUCAGAUUCUGAGGAACAGGUUCUGAUCUUUUCAGAAUUUUAAUCUUUUGAGUCUUAGGAUCAGAUUGUGUCAUAACUUUAGACUUGAGUUUUUCUGGCUUUGAUGUGAUCUUAGCCUUCGAACCAGAAGCUUCAGGUUCUGACUGAACAGCAGUUACAGCAUCUGUACCUUCAGGCACAAAGGUGGAUUUCAAUCCAUGCUUUAUACAAUCAUAGUAGCUCUUGAGACUGUAUUCUUUGGAUUUCUCCUCAGAAUAUCCAAUCCCUUUGCCAUUGUUCUUGUAUGUGCUGUAGAUCAUAGAAGCAACUUUGCUUCUGUCUAUUCCAGCCAUAAUAAAAUCAUCCAAGGCAAUCUCAUGUUUAUUGCCUGAACCUUUAUCACAUUUUUCUUGUAGCUUCUGACAAAGAAUCUUGAGUCUAUCUUCAUAUGUUGUUGAUAUGAGGUUAAACCCUUUGAGUUCUUCUUCAGAAGCUUUCAGUUCCAAUAGAGUUGUCUUUUGUUGUUUCAUUAAAUCAACAUAUUUUUCUUUUAAAUCUGUUAACUCAUUGGUUCUGUGUUCAAACAGUGAUAAAAGUUCUUGUAGAGAAUCAACAAGUUCUUGUCUAGGAAUUUUGGAAUAUACCUCAUUUUCAUCUUCUGAAUCUGAUUCAGCUUCUGAUACUGCUUCUGAUGAUACUGUUGCUACUAACCCCAUGGUUGCCUUAGCAUCAUCAUCUGCUUCUUCUUUAUCAGAACGAGAUUCACUAUCCAAAUCUUCCCAGGUCGCCAUCAAGCUCUUUUUGAUUUGCUUUCUGAAUUUACUGGAGCUGAAGCUUGGUUUCUUGGGUUUGCUUUUAGACUUCUCCUUCUGAAGAUCAGGGCAAUCAGCAAUGAAAUGACCAGGCUUCUUACAGUUGAAGCACCCCUUCUGAUCUUCUUUCUUGGAGUUCUUGUAGCCACUUCUCUUGCUCAAAAAUUUCUUCUACUUCCUUGCCAGAUACUCAAGCUUGUUGGAUAGCAUAGCCAUCUUUACAGAUUGAUCUUCAUCAGAAUCUCCAUCAGGUGAUUCUUCUUCAGAUUCACUGGCUUUGUAGGCUUUAGAAGAUUUUGAUGACUUUCCUUUAGAUGGUAAAGCAAUGGAUCUACUCUUCUUAGAGGAUUCAUGCUCAUUUAAACUCAUUUCAUGCACUUUGAGUGAACUAACAAGAUCUUCAACACUUAAAGUGUUUAGAUCCUUAGCUUCCUCAAUAGCAGUUACUUUGGGUCUCCAUCUAGAAGGCAAGCUUCUCAAAAUCUUACUAACAUGAUCAGAAGCAACAUAGCUUUUCUUCAGUAUUUGCAAUCCAGAAACUAAAGUUUGAAAUCUUGAGUACAUUUCUUCUAUACUCUCAUCAUCCUUCAUUCUGAAAAGUUCAUACUGAUGAACUAGCAUUAAAGCUUUAGUCUCUUUCACCUUCUUGCUGCCUUCAAAGUUGGCACAUAGUGAAGCAAACAUAGCCUUCGCAGUGGAUUUGUCACUCAUCUUCAUGUAUUCGGUGCGAGGUAUAGAAGCCACAAUGAUUCCUCUGAUCUUGUGGUGUUUCAUAUAAAGCUUCUUCUGAGCAGGAGUGUGUAUUCUUCUGUCCACAGCAGCUCCUUCUUCAUCUAAAUCCAGGUCAUCAUNNNNNNNNNNNNNNNNNNNNNNNNNNNNNNNNNNNNNNNNNNNNNNNNNNNNNNNNNNNNNNNNNNNNNNNNNNNNNNNNNNNNNNNNNNNNNNNNNNNNGCCCUCUUCAAUUGAAAUGUGCUAACGGGUUGUUACAUUGGGUUGGUGUCAAGACUAUCAUGUACAAGCAACAUAACUAUGGUAGAAUUGAUGACUUCAGUGUCAUAUGGUUACUUAAAAACAAAAUCAAAGUCAAUUAGCCUCUUUUCUUCUCCAACCGCAUGAUAUCCUACAAGAAUAAUCGUAGGAAAAGGCUCACAUACCCUUCCUUUAUUAGUCGUCUUCUAAGAUCUUAUCAGGUUCUCAAUGUUAGUACCUUACUCACUACACCGAGUGAUUCUAGUAGGUCAGAUGAAAAAGUCGUACAAAAGAUGCAAUAUAUUAUGGAUUCAAAAGGAAAUUGGUUCUAUGAUGACAAACUCUCUCCUGGGACUUGAUAUUAUUACUUUAACAUUGUGCUUGAACGGGUCCGGAAUCGGUUAAGCAAAUGAAAAAAAAAAACAUGGAGAAGGAAGAUCACAAUCUUGAGAAUGAUGCUGAAAUGGAGGAUGUUGAGGAAUAAACUAGUGUAGAUGGGGAGUUUGACUAUGAUCCGGAUAAUGAUCACUCUCAAGACCUUAGCCAAAACCACUCGGUGGUAGAUUUUAGUGAAGUUUUGAACGAAAUAAAGGAUUUAAAGGGGUUUAUGACUCAAAAGUUUGAUGCUCAGGAUUUACAAUUCCAGAAAUUAAAUAGAAGGUUUGAUGCUCAAGAAGCUCAAAUUCAAGAAAAUGAGGCAAUCAGUUCAGAGAUGGGAAGACCUUGGUUGUUCAACAAAUGACUUCUUUGCCUCCCCUUGCCCAAACCAUGAUGAUAUUGAUGGAACCUCAAACCCAAAUGAAUCGGAUGCUUAGUGAUGUUUUAUUUUCUUGUUAUGCACUUUUAUGAUCGUUUUCAUGUCUUUAUUUGUAAUAUUGGCUUUUCUUUCAAACCUAUUCUCUUAUGAAUUUUCCCUUUUUGAAGUUGUCAAAGGGGGGGAAAAAUUUUGUUUAUUGUUUUUGUUUAUGGUUUCGUUGCUUAUGCUUAUUGUUUCGUAUGUUGAAAACACUUUAUAUAUUUGUGUUUCGUGCGUAUUCUUGUUAUGACAUGUUCUUCUUGUUAAUCAAUGAUUGCUUGGGUAUGUGCCUAGCCAUAAACAUAGAAACAAUAUAUAUUACUUGUAUAUCUUGUAUGCAAAGUUUCAGGGGGAGCAAACAAUCAUCAACAUGGUGUUGUGACAUCAUAAAAAAGAGGGAGAUUGAAGCUUUGUUUUGCCAAACUUAUUUAUUUUGAUGAUGUUCUUUGUUGCUUUGUUUAAUUUCCAAGCAUAUUGUUUCUCUCUUUGUAGACUAUAAUUACAUCUUGUUAAAGCACCCUAUUGAUUUGUGGCAUAAUGUUUCUUUGUGUCAAAACUUCACAUGCUUUCAAAACUCUUGUUCAGUUCAAGUGAACCGAUUCACAGUUAAUUGAAUCGUAAUCGUAUCACACAAGCUCUUUGACUUUGUGUGAAUCGUCUCAAAACACCUUGAAUCUAUUCACUCCUGAAUCGUAUCAUUUAAAAUUGAAUCGUGUCAUAAAACAUUAUGAGUUGCACUGAAUCGAUUCAAUUUAAAUUUGAAUCGUAUUCCUGAAAAAAUAGAUUCAAAUUUUGUCUGAAUCGAAUCAUUCUUCAUUGUUCCUCUGUCUUGUAUUUCGCCGUCUGAAUCGGUUCAAACUUUUAGUGAGUCGAUUAAAAUAAAUAUACUCACUCUCUAUUAACUUUCAAAAUACUGAAUCAUUUGCAUUUAUUCUCUCUAGGUCUCAAAAAGUCUUUGUCCGUAAAUUCUUCAAGAUUAAACACUUUUUCUCAGAAUCACUUUGAACAUUGAGUCACAUUGAUUUGCUAGGGUGCUAGUAGGGAUUGGUUGGGCUUAAUCAAGGCUCCAAAGUGAAGUAAAUAAUCUCAUUCCACCUCCAAAGGACUUGGGGGUGUUUCUAACCGUUCAUGAAGUCGAAGGGGAAUCGUUUACUGGAUGUAGCAUCGAAGACUUGAGUGAAGAGUUCGAAGGGGUGCACCGGUAAUCAAGGGUUCGAAGAUUCAAGGAGCACCAAAUUCAAAGGUUAUUUGAUGUUUGGGGGAGUUUUUGCAUAGGGGUUGAAGAAUUAGUUUUAAUUUCAAUGAACUACUGUAAACAAAUUUGUAUUCAACAUUGUUACUAUUAGUGGACGACCUUGGUGAAGGCAUACGAAGAGUAGAUGUAGCUCUAGCGACAACAAGAAAGAGCAAACUACUAUAAAAAUAUUGGUGUUAUCUCUCUUCCCUAUCCUCUUUACUUUUCAUUAUUGCAUAUGUUAAUUGAAUAAUUUUUAGGAUAGUAGCUUGUAUUGAUCUAAGUUGUUUUUCAUCAAAAGUUAACCUAAUUCGUUGAAUUAGGUUUUAAUAAUUUGCUUAAGAUCAAUUGAGUUCAAUUUCUAUUAAAUUCUUCAAUUCCAUAUGCAUUGUGUUUGAUUGAUAGAUUGGUAUAUUUUCAUAUAGGUUUGGUUUUGAAAUUGUCAAAGUUUUGCAAAUUGUUCAAGACACAUUAAAGUUUGAUUGUAAUAUGAUUUGUAUUGUGAAUCACUCAAUUCUACUUUGAAUCUUAUUAUCACAUAGUUUUAUCUAUUUGUGUAUUGUUUUGAUUGUUCACAUGAAAUUUCAAUAGUCAAUUUAAUUGAAAUUACUUUUUAUCAAAACUUCGGAAAACUUUUUCAAAAAUCUAUUCACCUCCCUCUUGCUUAUAAUCUUAUUAGCCAUAUAGACCAACAGCUGCCACUGUUCAAAAGGCACAAAGAUCUAUUGGAAAUUUUAAGAGUGCUAGUACGGUGUUGGUGGAGACAGUAAGUGGAGGUUCAAUUUUGCCAAUAUCUGAUGUUCAUUGGACACCUCCUUUUAGUGGUUUUUAUAAGCUUAACGUUGAUGCAACAUAUCCGAUAGAGGGUGAUAAGUGGGGUAUUGGUGUUGCGGUGAGAGAUAAUGAAGGUGUUGUCGUUGGUGCUAGUUCAUGACAUAUAUUUUCAUUACCAGAUUCAAAGGUUGCAGAAGCUUUAGCUAUGCGAAAGGGUUUGGAAUUUGCAACAGACAUGUCUUUUCUAAAUCUUAUAGCAGAAUCAGCUGCUUCUAAUGUAGUUUUAGCGUUGAAUGUUCACCUACAAUCUCCCAACUAUGUUGGCUCUAUUAUUUGAGAUUGUAUUAGUUUUAAAGGUAGUUUUUGUAGUUUAAAUUGUUUGCAUGUUAGGCGUGAAGCCAACCAAGCUGCUCAUUAUUUAGCUGAAUAUGCUCUUAAGAAUUCAGAUUGCAUAUGAAUUGAAGAAACUCCGUCUUAUAUUUGUGCAGCUUUGGCAUUUGAUUUAUUGCCAAACUUUCGUUAAUGAAAUUGUCAUUAACUUAAAAAAAAAAAAAAAAAAAAAAAAAAAAAAAAAAAGAAGGAUCGUAUAUACGUUAAACAAUACAAAAUUGUAUAUAGUAGGUUGAAAAAAUUGUAUAUUAACAAAAUAUAUUGAUUUUUAGCAUAAGAAUAAUUUUGUCUUUUUAAUGAUAAAACACACUUCUCUCACUUCUAUUGAUUUAUUUUACACCAAACAAUACAUCAAAUCUACUCUAUUUUCACUUCUUUCUCUCUUCUCAUACUUUUUCUCUCUUCUUCUCUAAACCAGACACACACAAGGGAAUAUAUAUAUAUAUAUAUAUAUAUAUAUAUAUAUAUAUAGGGCUGCUAACUUAUACCCACCUAAAAACAUUAAGGUGCAAGUUAGCAAGCUGCACCCACUUAUAAUUUACUAAAACACCAUUUUGUUUAUAUUCUAAUUAAUUUUUAAUAGAAGGGUAAUUUUACUGUUUUAACCCUAAUGCUCACACCUAAUCUCCUAUUUUCAUGAACAACCCUAAUGCUCACACCUAAUCUUCUUAUCUUCUUAUAUAUUAAAGUUAACCCAUAAGCCCUAAUUUUACUGUUUUAACCCUAAUGCUCACACCUAAUCUCCUAUUUUCAAGAACAACCCUAAUGCUCACACCUAAUCUUCUUAUCUUCUUAUAUAUUAAAUUUAACUUGUAUGCCCUAAUUUCAACCUAAACCCUAUUGCAUAAUCUUCUUAUAUAUUAAAAUUAACCCAUAAGCUCUAAUUUUAACCUAAACCUUAUUGCAUAGUUUUACUGUUUUAACCCUAAUGCUCACACCUAAUCUCCUAUUUUCAUGAACAACCCUAAUGCUCACACCUAAUCUUCUUAUCUUCUUAUAUAUUAAAGUUAACCCGUAAGCCCAAAUUUUAACCUAAACCCUAUUGCAUAAUGUUACUAUUUUAACCCUAAUGCUCACACCUAAUCUCCUAUUUUCAUGAACAACCCUAAUGCUCACACCUAAUCUUCUUAUCUUCUUAUAUAUUAAAGUUAACCCGUAAGCCCUAAUUUUAAUCUAAACCCUAUUGCAUAAUUUUACUAUUUUAACCCUAAUGCUCACACCUAAUCUCCUAUUUUCAAGAACAACCUUAAUGCUCACACCUAAUCUUCUUAUCUUCUUAUAUAUUAAAGUUAACCCGUAAGCCCUAAUUUUAACCUAAACCCUAUUGCAUAAUUUUACUGUUUUAACCCUAAUGCUCACACCUAAUCUCCUAUUUUCAUGAACAACCUUAUUGCUCACACCUAAUCUUCUUAUAUAUUAAAGUUAACCCGUAAACCCUAAUUUUAACCUAAACCCUAUUGCAUAAUUUUACUGUUUUAACCCUAAUGCUCACACCUAAUCUCCUAUUUUCAUGAACAACCAUAAUGCUCACAGCUAAUCUUCUUAUCUUCUUAUAUAUUAAAGUUAACCCGUAAGCACUAAUUUUAACCUUAACCCUAUUGCAUAUCUUCUUAUAUAAUAAAGUUAACCCGUAAGCCCUAAUUUUAACCUAAACCCUAUUUUGCAUAAUUUUACUGUUUUAACCCUAAUGCUCACACCUAAUCUCUCCUAUUUUCAUGAACGACCCUAAUGCUCACACCUAAUCUUCUUAUAUAUUAAAGUUAACCUGUAAGCCCAAAUUUCAACAUAAACCCUAUUGCAUAAUUUUACUGUUUUAACCCUAAUGCUCACACCUAAUCUCCUAUUUUCAUGAACAACUCUAAUGCUCACACCUAAUCUUCUUAUCUUCUUAUAUAUUAAAGUUAACCCGUAAGCCAUAAUUUUAACCUAAACCCUAUUGCAUAAUUUUACUUGUUUUAACCCUAAUGCUCACACCUAAUCUCCUAUUUUCAUGAACAACCUUAUUGCUCACACCUAAUCUUCUUAUAUAUUAAAGUUAACCCGUAAGCCCUAAUUUUAACCUUAACCCUAUUUCAUAAUUUUACUGUUUUAACCCUAAUGCUCACACGUAAUCUCCUUUUUUCAUGAACAACCCUAAUGCUCACACCUAAUCUUAAUAUCUUCUUAUAUAUUAAAGUUAACCCGUAAGCCCUAAUUUUAACCUAAAUCCUAUUGCAUAAUUUUACUGUUUUAACCCUAAUGCUCACACCUAAUCUCCUAUUUUCACGAACAAUCCUAAUGAAAGGAUUUUCAUGGAGAUUAUGAUGUAACUGUUACACAUCCUCUAAUCCAAUACUUCAAAAAAUUGAAUAUAAGUGUAAAGAAAGGAUUUUCACCGGAACCUAUUAUCAAUGUAAAAAUGCAUGCCUAAAGAGUAACCCACUAUUAUAACUCCUACUGAAGCUAGCAAUAUUCGACUGUGUCAAUUUUGAAAGAUUAUUAUUGUAAUAAAAGGGUUUUGAAAGAUUAUAGCAACAUUUUUUUUUGUUAAUAUUACACUUUUCAUCCAAAUUAGAACUGAACUCUCUUUGUUAAAUAUCUACCGCAAAAUGCACCAGAAAUUUGCAAUCUAUAUAAACAGGUGGAAGAAACAAUUCAACAAACAGUUAAAGGGCAUCAUUUACGGUAAUGGCCAAAUAUUCGAUAAAAGGAAAAUUAUUUAAAUAAAACAUUUUACAUGUUAAGGUUAAGAAUGAGCUUUUUUUAGGUAUAUAAUAUAACAUUAACAUAUAAUUUUUACAAAAGAAUGAAGUAACAUUUUGUCAAAAAAAAAAAAAAAAGAUGAAGUAACAUACCAAUAAUAUAACAUUGACAUAUAAUUUUAACAAAAGAAUGAAGUAACACACCAUUGAUAAAAAUUAAUAUUUUUAACGUGAAUAAGUGUGGUGUCUGAGGUUCGAAUUCCAACAUCUGCAUAUAUUUGGGACCACAUAUUUCAUUCUCUUUGAUAUGCAUUGAGAUUUGUUUUUGUCUACUACCACUACUAAAAAAACAAAAAUUAGUGAGGGAAAUUUUGUGAGGGAAAACGUAAAAUUCCUCUCUAAUUCCGUCACUAAAUUUUGCGACCAAGGAAUUUGUGAGGAAUUUCAUUUUUUCCGUCACUAAUUUCCCUCGCUAAUUUUGCUUUUUCUAGUAGUGUACAUCUACAAUGUAUAUGACCCGUGCGGCAGCGCGGGUGGAAAGUCUAGUGUGUGUGUAUAUACACACACACACACACACAAACACACACGUAAACUUAUUUCACAUAUGUUUUUCCACGUAGAUUAACUGCAUUCCAAGCCAUUCCAAGCCAAUUUCAAACACAAAAUCAAGUAAGUUUUUUGAAUCAUAUUGCAUUGCUAUUUUGUGAUUGAUUUGUUAGUUUUUUUAGGUUAAAUUGCGAUUAUAGAGGUUUAUUGAUUUUAUGAUGUUAUGAUAGUUUAGGUUGUUUGAAUUGUUAGGUUUAGGUUAGAAUUGUUUAGAUACUUAGAAUUGUAGAAUUGUUAUGAAAUUAUGGUAGAAUUUUUAGGAUUGGAUGAAUUGUUGUGUAAUCGUUGCGAUUAGUUUAGGUUUGUUAUGAAAUUUUGUUGUUAUGAAUUAUUGUAGAAUUGUUACAUAGGUUUUGAUCGCCAAUUUGUAUAUGCAGAUAUGUCUCAGAAUCAGAGAAACGUUGAGUUGAACAACAGAAAGGAGGGUGACGACAAGAAGAAAGAAAAAUCGUCGAUGACAUGGCACGAAAUCACAUGUCAUGGAUCCGUCAAAAAGAAUGAUUCAAAGGUGUUGGUGAAUAAUCAUUCAAGGGUGAGGAGGAGCGGGAGGACAUACUAUUUUUGUCCUCACCCAAAAGCAGUUGCCCCAGGGACUGUCAAGGACAACCCGAUUGACUUGUGUGACGAUUGAAUGUAAUUGUUUUUUAUGUUUUGGAUCUUUUUUUAUGUUUUUUUUAUGGUACAUUUUGCUUGACAUAUUUGUACUUUGAAUAAAUUCGUGUUUUGAAUAAUUUCAAUUAAAAUCGUGUUUUGAAUAAUUUUGAUUGAAGUCGGGUUUUGAAUAAUUGCGUAUUCGAAUAAAAACUAAUUAAAUCUAACAUGAAUUCAACUAAUUAAAAAUGACGGUAUUCAAGUUUCAAAAGAAUGAGGUUCAUUUAUUGACACUUCAAUACAUUCAUAUAAACCGGCCUAACAAGAAGUUAAUCUUUUGACAGGAACAAUGGGAAUGUCGGUCGAACAUUGGAGUUAUGCCGUUUGGCAAGUUUGAACUACCCCAUUCAGAGAAAGACAAUUGUUGUAGUUGGAAGGUGCAUUCAUUCGGUACCUAAUGACAAUCUUCUCGUAGAAUCAAACUUUUGAUGAUAUCUUCAGUUGAUCUUAGCAACGUCACCCGCAUAUCGAUCCACUGGAACAUGUUGUAUUCCCAAAACAUGCUCGUCACGUUUUUGUCGUUCCUUAAUUACACCCAAGUGAAUGAUACUCUCCCCUCGUCGAGCGUUGGACGUUUAUACCGAACGUGUUCCACCCUCCUUGUGUCUCUCGGGUUGACUCCUUGGUUGAAUUCAGUCAGUUCAUCCUUGAGACCUCUUAACGUUACACAAAGGCAACGAACCUUCAACCUCUGAGGUUCUCCGCCGUUGAAUUGUGCAUGAACAUCGAUCCACCCGGCCAUUGUUUCAAAUCUACAAAAUUAGAAAUUAAAAAUAAUCAAUGAAAAAUUCAUUCAAACACUUGUAGUGAAAAUUUGACAUAAACCCUAAAAAUCCUAAACAAACCCUAAAAAAUUUAUAAAAUUAUAAAGAAAAAUAUAAAUUUAAGCAAUAUAACUUCAUUAUAAUAGGUAUUCAUAAUAUAUGUUAAUAGAAAUUCAAAUCUACAACAUAACUAUAUUAAAAACAAAUAUUCAAACCCUAAAAAAUUUAUAAAAUUGGAAAAAAAAAUAUAAAUUCAAGCAAUAUAACUUCAUUAUGACAGGUAUUCAUAAUAUAUGUUAAUAGCAUUUCAGAUCUACAAUAUAACUAUAUUAAAAACAAAAAUUCAAAAUUUAAUAAUUAAACAACAACUAAAAUUAUAAACAUAUAAACACAUAUACUAACUAAAAUGUAUGAUAACUUACUUGUGAUUUAGUGGAAGAAAUUUUGGAUGAUUUGGUAGAGUUUUUUUCGAGAGAGUGAAAAUUUGAGAGAAAGAUGGUGAUGGUGAGGGUGAUGAUGGAGUGAGUGUCUAGAUUAUGGCUACUGACUUGAAUAUAUCACGAACACAUGGGCAUUUAACAACCGCUAGCUUCCAGCGACAGUUAACUGUUGGCGCUUAGACUAACGAUUGUUAACUGUCGCUGGGGGUAAAAACAUCAUUUCCUUGUGUCGAUAGGAAGUAUUCAUUGUCAAAAAAGCAAUCUAUCUAUAUACUAAUAUAAAAAGUGAUGUCUGUUGAUUUUACCUUUUUGCCCCUCUUAGGGGCAAUUUGGUAAUUUACUAAUUCAUGGCUUGGCCUAUGGAUUUCCAUUUUUGCCCCUAACCAACUUUUUUUAAUUAUUAUCUAUUUUAUAUUUUUAAUAACUUUUAACUAUUUCCUAAUUUUUAUAUUUUUAACUAUUUUUCAAUUUUUUUCUCCCAAAUUUAGUUGCUUCUACAUUGCCGUUGUGGGAGAUUAAGGUAUCGUUUGACCCAACUUUUUUCCAAAUUCUCUACAUUUUUAAGGAGAAGUUAGGUCAAAACACAAUAUCAAUUAAGUACUUUUUUUGAACGCAUAAAAUUGAAUGGAAUGAGCUUUGACCAAAAGUUGUUGGAUGUUACUUUCAAAAACUACUUCUCGACAAUUUAUUUCACAAGCACCUUUUUUCCACUCACGCUGGGAACCUUUUCUUUUAUUUUUUAAUAUUAUAUUUCAAUAUGUUUUUCCUUCCAUUUAACUCUAUUUUUUUUAACCGUUCCAUUUAAAUUUUUAAGGACGUUUCAUUUAAUUUUAUUAUCUUUUUUUCAAAGAAAUUUUAUUAUCUUUUUAUCACUUAUAUAUUUGAUUUCAAUAUCGUUUAAUCAUCACAACCUCAUAAAUAUUUUUAUUCACGCUGUCAUUUAAUGAUCCCAGAUAUUUUUAUUUCCUUUCUUCAACCUCGCGAAUAUAUCCAUAACGCAUUAAUGUUUAGAGUAAUAUUUUAUUUCCGUCUCUCUGUUUUUUUGUUACGCUAAUGCAUAUAACUUUUUUAGUGUUGCUUGGUUAAGUGCUACCCCACCAAAUUUUUUUAACUAUUUUCCAAUUUUUAUAUUUUUAGAAACUUUUAACUAUUUUUCAAUUUUUUAUUUUUAACUAUUUUCCAAUUUUUUCUCCCAAAUUCAGUUGCUUCUACACUGCCGUUGUGGGAGAUAAAGAUACCGUUUUUACCCGAUUUUUUUUCAACUUCUUUACAUUUUUAAGGAGAACUUAGGCCAAAUACAAUAUCAAUUAAGUACUUACUAAAAAAUGUACUUUUUUUAAUGCAUAAAAUUGAAUGGAAUGAGCUUUGGCCAAGAGUUGUUGAAUGCUACUUCAAAAAACUACUUCUCGACAAUUUAUUUCACAUGCAUCUCUCUUUAAUUCAUGUUGGGAACCUUUUCUUUUACUUUCUAAUAUUAUAUUUCAAUAUGAUUUUUUCUUCCAUUAAAUUUUUUUUGAACCGUUCCAUUUAUUUUUUUUAAAGAGGUCCGAUUUAAUUUUAUUACCUUUUCUCAAAUGAAUUUUAUUAUCUUUUUAUCACUUAUAUAUUUAAUUUUAAUAUUGUUUAAUCAUCACAACCUCACAGAUAUUUUUAUUCAUGUUGUCAUUUAAUGAUACCAAAUAUUUUUAUUUUCUUUCUUCAACCUCGCAAAUAUACACACACACACAUUAGCGUUUAGAGUAAUACUUUAUGUGUGUCUGUUUUUUGUUACCCUACUGCGUAUAAUAUUUUGUGGCGUUGCACAAUGCGUAUGAUUAUUUUUAUGAAAUUUUGAUUUUAAUUAAAAGUAAAAUUGUAGAUGUCUUUUAUUGAAAAAAGGUCUAGAUACCUAAAAAAAUUAUAUAUAUAUAUAUAUAUAUAUAUAUAUUUUGAGGGAAUAUAUAUAAAUAUAUAUAUUGCUCCUUUGUAUUGUAACAAACUAUGCAUAUCUUUUUCUUAUUCAAAUAAACUAAACAUAUAUGUUUCCAUGACACCAACAAUGUAACAAAUAUAAUAUCAUAUAAUAUAAAUUCUUAUCUUCUUGAAAGACACCAAAAAAUUAUAACGAAAUUUGUCAUAGAGUAUAAUUGAAAUAAAAAAACCAACCAUUUUGAUAUUAUUUAUGUUAUUAUUUCAGGCUCCGUAAAUUGUUUUUCCUAUUCAAAUAUUUAACAAGUCAUUUAUAUGAUUAUACAAAUUUGUAUUCAUGUUACACAAAAUAAACGUUAUUGAGUUAAUAUAGUACUUGUAAAAAAAUAUAUCUUUUAUUUUUUAACAUUUUUAGCCUUCAGAAAAUAUUUUAAACAUUUUUUAUUUAUUAUGUUAAUUCAUAAUAAAUUCAAAGUUUUGUCCUCAUGAGUUUAGCUCAGAUGAUAGGAACAAUGCAUAAAUUCAAAGUUUUGUCCUCCUGAGGUUCGAACCCUGGACACCAUAAAAAAAAAGUUUGUACAAUAUUUUGUCAAACAACAUUUAACUUCAAAAUAGCUUUAAAAUUAAAAAAAAAAAAAAAACAAAGAAACCAAAUAACUUUAGCUUCUUUCUUAAAGGCAUUUAUUUUAACUUCAUUUUGAAGUAACUUUUAGAACGUAAAAAACCUUGGCCAAACGGUAUCUAAGUUCAGCUGGGAACAUUGUUUCACUUUCUUCUUCAUAAGAGGUCAUUUUCUUCGUUUUUUCAUGGUUCUGAGACCAUACAUGACUUGAGUUGACUGAUUUUUAUGGCUUGAAACAUUGUUUUAGUUUUUGCUUCAUCAUAGGUGGUUUUCUUCCUUUUUUCACGAUUCUGCAUUUUAAGGGUUUUAUUUUUUGAAGUCCAAAAAUUUGUGCAUUUAAGAUCAAGUUAAUUUGAUGAUACAAAAAAUGAGCACAGAGAAAUAUGUUAGCUUCUUUCGAUAUCAGAAUGAAAAAAGAGAAUAAAAUUAAAUGAUGUAUUAUUGUAUUUUUGUAUAGGACUUUCAAUGUUAAGGGAUUAUGACUACAUUAAGGAUCUCAAAAAUGAUUUGAACAUUUGGAAAAUAGGACUUGGAGUGCUGGAUUCUUGGAUUGUGAUCGGUAAUAAUGAGAAUCAACAUAUGAAGCUCAUUAUUUGUGAUGCAAAUGUUAGAUGAGUUAGUUAAGAUUUGUUGUAAUUUCCUUUAUGAUUUACCAAUGUUACUUAUUAGUGUGCAUUUUGAUUUAUUUAUAUUUUUUGGUUUCUUUCUCGGAUUUAGGGUGAUCGAGUUCAUGUAAUAACUCGAUAUAGAGAGUUGGAGCUUUGGAAGGCUUUGAUCGUGGAAAACAAGACUUAUACUUUAAGCUCAUUAUCAUGUGUUUGAUAAUGACAUUGCAUUUAAUCCCUUUAAGGUUGUUUUUGGUUCUGGUACAAAGGUGCAGAAGUAUGACAAGUUAACUACGUUCUUACUCAUUGCAUUCAAAACUGAUGUUUUAUAUGGUAUGGUUAUGUGCUUUAAUUUAUUUCUGUGUUUUCUCCUAUUAUAAUGUUCUUAUAGAUGUAAUUUUUUUUUUUUAAGAAAUCAUCGGGCUUCUUCAUGAGAUUGUCAAGACAACGCCAAUUGGGACUAGAAAGAAAUUGUGAACGAACAUUUUGUUGAAAGAUAAAAGGUAUUAUUUUCUAAUUUAUCAGCAUCAGAUGAUAGGAUUUUGUAUAAGUUUGAUAAUGACCUGAAAGAUGUCUUUUCUUAUGCAGUGGGAAUAUGGUUGAUGUAACACUAUGGGAAAUAUAUUCCGUAGCUUUAUAAUUUACCAUCUAUUUACCUUGAGUUCUUUACUUCCAUUUUGUAGUCAAUGGCAACCCAAAUAUAUGUAAGUUUGCGUUAUGAUUUCACAAUACAGUGUUAGAGUAACUUAUUAUUUCACAAUCUGAUUUGAUUGUUUUUUGACCAUGUUUCUUGAAUUGUUGUCGUGACCUUAAAACUUCUCAAGCUCAGAGUCAAAGCAUCAUUCAUAACUUAAGUCAGAGUUCGGUUUCUUCUCAACGUACUUCGUACAACGAUUUUUCCAAUCUGUCUCAGGUUAGGUCAAUUGCUGAAUUUAUAAACUUAGUCAAGGUCUGCUUUUUUUAUGCACAAACAUGCUUUGAGUUUUUUUACGCACAAAUUAAAAAUACAUAUUGCAUUAUUCUUUAUUUCAUGUGCAUAAUUUGUGUUAGGAUACAUAUUGCAUCACUAUUUGGAAAGCAACUAAAUUCAAUCCUAACCAGUUUGGAUGAUAUUAUGAGAGUUGCACCAAAUAUUUGAAGACAUCAAUGUCAAAUGGUGAUAGCUAUAGAUGCACAUGCGGGAGUGAUGCUUAAUUUCCAUUUGUUUCAACAAUGUUAAUUGGUAAACGGGAUUCAUAUAAUGCACAUGCAUGCAUUUAUCUAGCCUUUAUAGGAAGAUAACAGGAAGAUAAAUUAAAAGUCAUAAUACAUUUUCUUUAGCUUAAAAUUAGUUAUGCUACCUUUAUUUAUGAAUUAUAUGUAACUAUAUUCGCAUACAUCUUAUCCAUGUUAAUAUGCAUUAGACUAAUAUUGUUGUUAUUUCCCUGUUUAGCAUUUCCCGAACGAGGUGUCAAGAACAAUUCUAAAAGGAAAGCACAAAACAAUCACUCUCAUUGAUGACCAGACACAGAGAAAGUAUAAGUGUCGCCUCAUUACUGCCGAAAUAGCAAGCUAUGAAAAAUACUUGGGUGGGCAAUGAUUCAAUUUCUGCAGAGAACAUGUGAUGGAAGAAGGUGGUAAGCUCAUCUUUGAUCUCAAAAAGUCACCAAAGAACUUACAUGUUCGAGUUGUUCCAAAGUAGAUCUUUGCUGCUGAAUUAUUUGAACUUCUACUAUUUUGACGUAUCGCUUUGGACUGUAAUUGUAAACUAUCUUGACUUUGGGAUGACAUUUGUUCUUUUUAUUUUGUCUGAUGUAAAUAUUGGCAAAAAUCCUUUUUUGGUUAGUCUAUGAUACUUGCAGUUUUUUUAUAAACACUAUUAUGUAACGUUAAUUUGCACAUUGUUGAUUCCUUCAUUGGUUCCAAUUAGUAUCAUGUAAAUUUUAAUGUUGUUUUCCUAAUCUCUUGAACAAAAUAGAACAUGUUCUUUUCCUACAGCAAAUCGUUAUAAUGUUUUGGUAAAUAUUUUGAAAAUGUACUUAUAUAUAUAUAUAACAUCUAAUUAACACUACAAUUUGUUUUGUCCCUAGCACUUCCCAAAUGAGAUAUCAAGGACAUUUCUAAAAGGAACACAGAAAACAAUCAUACUCAUCGACAAACAAGCUAAAAAAAGGUAUAAGGGUCGCUUGAUAACAGCAAAGAGAGCAAUUUACAAAAAAAUACUUAGGCGGCCAAUGGUUCAACUUUUGCUGAGAACAUAUGUUAGAGGUAGGUGAGAAACUAAUUUUUGAUCAAGAGAAACCACCUAAAAAUAUGCACGUUCAAGUCGUUCCCAAAUAAAGAUUUGGUGUUCAUGAUCCACACUUUCAACAGAUCACCUUAACUCUAAUCCUAGACGAGAUUAUCUUCACUCACUGACGCUACUUCUUUUCUUGAUUUCAUCUGAUGUAAAUAUGGGUAUCAAAUCAUUUUUUGGUAACUCUAUAACAACAACACUCUUUUUUAUAAUUUUAUAAUUUUGGAUAAUGUGUAAUUAUAAUUCUCACAUCAUUGGUUCCUUUUUGGUUCCAAUUGUUUUCAUCCUAAAUAUUAUGUCAAUUCCUAAUCUCAUAAACUGAUUAUAUGCUCUCUUCAUCAGCUCGUACAUAUUUUAUGAUGAAUCACAAUGUUCCGUCGUUUUAACAUCUCUUCCUUCGAAGAAUUUUUUUAUCGAAUACGUUAUUGAACCCAUGUUGAAUUAUCUUUUCUUCAACAAAUACUAUUGAGACCUCUGCAUGAGAUAUCAAUGUGCAGACAUAUUAGAUUAAACACAUUUACAACUAUUGAUGGGAUCAGAAGACUUUUCAUUCUAUCAAGAGGCUUUACAACUAUUGGCCAUUAUAUUUUUUAUUUAUGUUAAUUAUUUGGUCUUUAUUGUGCAGAUAAUGGUAAGCCUAAUUUCUGCAACAAUUGGUCGGGUUCGAAGUUGCUUAUUAACUUGAAGCAUCUGGUUGUCGACACUUUUUAGGGCUAGGUGAGUUUGUUUUAGGCUGCAACUGAUGGAUAAUGAUAUAAUUUGAACCUUUUUUUUGUUUGGCUGAAGAUUUUACGUCUUAAUUUGUGGUUUUAAGGAAUUAUGCGAACCUGUGCUUCAAUGUAUAUGCUUGGUGUAUGAUCUCAUAAAAUAUUAUGAUGAUUUUUAUAUCCUAUUUAGUGUAUGCUUCGUUCUGUUGUUUGGUUGAUCAGAGGAAAUUGUGCUUUAUUAUUCAAUUCAAAUCCAUUAGUUAUAGGCGUUUAAUAUUCUUUCUUUAUUGUGGUAGGUUUCAAACUCAAGUUCAUAGCUUUGCUCAGAACCUCAGUCAUCAGUUCUAGGUUUCUCGCGUGUUCCUGUUGUGAUUGAGAAAAUUAAGGCUCACCUUCAUCCUGGUGGAAUGGAGCUAGAGGAGGGACAAGCAAAUGAGGUUUGUUGCGCUUGCUUUGCCUUUUAUUUACAAAUUAUUCAUCUAUUUAAUUUUGCUUGGUUUAUGUUUGUCUUUUCAUUCUAUUGUUAUAGGAUGUUGUGCACCAUAAUCCAACUCAUUCAUUCAAUGUUGAGAAGAUGAAUGUUGGUGUUGAAUACUCAAAGUCGCUUGACACUCCUACGAUACGUCAACAUUUUUUCUGUCCAACGCUUUUAGGAGAUAUCUUGAAUAAUAAAGGAAUGCAUCUGUCAUGCAAAGAGCUUUGAGAAAUAUGUAUUUUCUCUAAUGACUGAUAGAAAAAGAGGUAGAAGAUUAAAACUACAAAGGAUGUAUUUUCUCUUAAUUUGAUUAAAAGUUAUCUUUUCCCUUAACAGAUCUGACCAUAGGCACCCGUACAUGAAUGAUUUUUUAUUCAAGCAAAUGCUUAUGUGACUUAUUAGACUUGUCUUUCUUUCAUAGUUUUGUCCUUUUUAAUAAGUAUUGUUAUGAAGAAUUCUAAUGACCAUUUGACUAUGAUUUUUUUCAAGACCUGCUAUUCAUGCUUUAUCAAGUCUAUAAUUAGUUAGUCACGUAGAACUGUGAAUAUUUUGCGUCAAAAAAUAUUGUUGAUAGAAGGAAACUUUUUAUUUAAGUAGACCUAUGAAUAGUUUACAACAUUAGUUACCUUAAGAGAUUGAUUUAAUUUUGGUAAUGAAGUAUAGAAAGUUGGAGGGAACUUUUUAUUUAAAAAUAAGUUUAACUCUUCACAUUUUCCAUAUAUUGUUUAUUAUAAAUACUAAGCCAUAUAUCUGAUUAUUGUAGAAUGCUAAGGAGCUAGCCAUGGUUUGCGAGUUAUAGCAUAUCAAUGGUUGAGCCACGUGUUUCAUUAAGUGGUUUUCGUUAAGUGAAAAAUACAGUCCAUUUGUCAACUAUAUUGUAUGCUUUCAAUGUAGUUCAUCUUAUUUCAUGUCAACAUUAAUGCAAUAUUGCAUGACAACCACGUAUUUCUAUAGUACAUAAGGGUAAAUACCGAUAUUUUUUACGAGUCUCUGUGUGAGUGUGGGUAUGUACACAUUGCAGGACUCUGCUAACUAUGGCUUAUUUAUAUUGAUCGGUGAUUGUGUGCUUAGAAAAUUUUGGGUGUUAACUUAAGUAUAGCAGAAAAGUAUCGUCCAUAUGAGGCAUAUAAGGAUGCGCGUAGUAUAUUAGUGAUUCACAAUAUUGCACAUCAGGUGAGUUAAUUCAUGUUUUUAUUUAUUUAAUUUUUUUUGGGGGGUGUUGCUAGGCAAUAGCAUCUAUAACUGUAUACUUUGAUCAAUACUCUUUCCCUUUUGAGAAAAAACACUCCCCAAAGCACUGCCCUCCCAAAGGCACAUGUUCCUUCGACAAAAUAUAACCUCAUUAGUCCUUUUGAGAAGAAAAAAAACACUCCCCAAAGGCACUCUUAAACUCCGAAACAGACCCUAGGUGGGAUUUAUUUUGAAGUUCAUAACCAUUUAAAAUAUAACCUCAUCAGUCCUUUUACAUUGAAUUGGAUAAUUUGAACACUUUUAAUUGGUUGUGCAUGUACAUGCAUUUCAAAGAUGCUCAUAUAUGCUACUGAACAAUAUGAGAAGUGAUUUUGUCUUUGAUUUGUGAUGACACAAUUAGAAUGAAUAAUGUUUAGUUGAAUGUAACUUCUACCUACACAAGGAAUUUGUGACGGGUUCAAGAAUAACCAAGGCAAGUAUUAACAUAAAUAAUUAGUUAUCAUCUAUCACAACAGGGACUUGCUUUUUCGUUUGAUUUUACAUCAUAUCUGAUUUCUUGCUUUCCUUUCCUCGGAGUCCUAUUUGUUGAACUAUAAGUAGUUUCAAUCAAAAUUUAGGUGUCACUAUAUUGUUGUUGCUUGCUUUUUCAUUAAUUAUAGUCAAUUGUUGCUCAACGAUGUGUGGUUGUGGUUAUGGUAUCUUUGCAGAUAUUAAAAUGGCUUGGGAAAGAUUUUGGAAUCAAAAUUCUUGACAAAGUUCGGUUUAAGAUGGAUCAUCAAAAGUCAAAGGAACAAUUGAUUUUUGAAGAUGGGGUGAGCAAAAAUAAAGCAGCAAAGGCUAGACUUCUUAGAAAAAAUGUUCUUCAAGUUAAGAAAACAAAAAGGUUGAAAACAAUGUCAAAAGAAAAUGCUCCAAUCUCAUGUAAAUGUUCUAUUUUUUAUUUUUUUUUAUGAAUAUGAAGUUUGCAUUUUCACUCAUAUUCUAAUCUUUUGAAAAUUGUAUUCUGGCAUGUAUAUUUUGUAUAAUAUUUCAAUGACAACUUCACUUCGUGGUGAUAAUAACCAACUUCGAAAUAAUACUAAACAUGAUCACAACUUCUACAGUUGCAUUACCUAACAAACCAUUAAUAUAUACCGUUGUGAAUUCUAAGGUGAAUCAGGAAAUAGAAGAAAGUAAUGUUACCUCACCUAAAGUCUCUCUACUCCUCCGCCGAGUAACCAAGCAAUACAAGAAUCAAUCCACAACAGGAAGAAAUGGAUAAAUAAUGAGGAGAACUCUUCAAAAGUGGUGAAAGAAUUUCGUAAGCUUAUUUUCUUUGGAAGAAGGAGUUGAAGAACCUUUGUGGAUUGAUACUUUUUCACGGAGGGGUUCCCAUGAACUUAUGAAUUGUUCAUGGAAGUUAUGAGUUCUCUUUAUCCAUGCUUUUGGUUAUUCAAUAUUUCAAAAGAGAGUUUACUUUGUCCAUUAUUAGCUCAGUAGAAAGUGUUUGGCAAAUUGAAUUAUUUGUUGUUAUUGAACAUACUCAUUCAUUCAUGUGACAUGGUAGUCAUAUGUGGAAGAUUGUAGAUAGUUUCUAACUUCUCACACCUUAUAACAAUAAGACCAUGUGGAUUGGAAUUGCUAUCAUACUAAGGAAGGAUACCAAGCAUAAUACAUUUUUGGAAUAAUAAUAUUUUCCUUUAGAACAAAUUUUUUACAAGAUACGUAAUUCAACCCGUCAAUGGACAAAUAUAAUAUCAAAAGUAUAUAUUAAUGAUAGGAUGGUAUGUUAUUAUAAUGUAACUAUUAUAUGAGUAGUAUUCUAUUUAAAACUAAGUUGAUACUUCAUGGUUUUUUAGAUUUAUAUGUUUGGGAUCUAUGUUUAUCUCUAAUAAUCUAUUCCCCUAUAACAAAAUUUUCCGAAAAAAGAUAAUACAGCUCGUUUGUAACUAGUUUUCUAAACUUAAAACUUGAACCACUAAACCUCAAAAAUAUAUACUACUACUUUCACUUUUUUCAUACAGUAUAGGUGCAGAGCAUAGUUACGGGAAAAUAGAUAGGUUUUUACAUAAAACAUGAAAAGAUUAUAUGCUAGUUAGGGAGUCAUGCCAAAAGCGUUGGGAACCAUUAUGUCCAACAAUGUUAACUAAUUUUAACCAAUCAGGUCACUCACCCCUCCGUCUUUUAUGGUGGUAAACAUAUAAUAAUAAAAAAAAUGUGUAUAUAUAUAUAUAUAUAUAUAUAUAUAUAUAUAUAUAUAUAUACCUAAAACUUAAAAUUUGUUCAUUUGAAUUCAUAGUCAACCAGGUGACUAGGCGGCACUGGUGCCUUGAGCAUUGACACGAGGUAAAUCAAAAUCAAAAUGGCAUGGUGAUUGUUUUAAAAUCAAGGCUUCAGAAUUGGACAUUAGGCAAAGGAAAACAAAAACAAUCAAAUCAUAAUCUAAAAUCAAAAUUUCAGCUUUGGUUAUGUGAUAAACUGGCUUUUUGAUAAGAUGAAAAUAAAAGAAAAAUAGUCUAAAAUAACAUUUCCAUGACAAUAUCCAGCUAGGGAUGAACCGAAGUUGCGCAGAUUAUAAAAGACAUAUAACACCAAAAUUGAUAAAGAUAUUCAAAACACAAGAGUCGAAUAAAAACUACAAAACACUCAGUCCAUAGAUAUUUAAGCAGCAACUGCUUGUUGAGCCGCAGCAGCCCUCUUCCUAGCUUCCUCGAUGACUGUANNNNN